rnacentral:lncRNA from 1 species
CAUGGCACUAGCCGGCAAUGGUAUGAAGAAGUUAAUCCUCGCUGUUCUCUUACUGUGUCUAGUUAUAGGGCAGAUACAAGUGGAAGCUAAGAGCUGCUGCCCAUCCACCACUGCAAGAAAUGUCUACAAUACCUGCCGUUUCACGGGUACAUCCCGUCCAACGUGUGCAAAACUGUCAGGCUGCAAAAUUAUCAGCGGGAACAAAUGCAAGCCCCCUAACGACCACCUCACCCUUGACCCGGACACUGGUAAAUAAUAAAUUUAUCUCACUUGAUUUCUUCGUGAUUUGAGUCGUUAAUGUAUUUUCCAUCUGAUGAAACGUAUUGGUUUUGCAUUGAAGAGGAAGUUAAUGUGCUUAACUUCUGCAAGUUGGGGUGUGCGUCGUCUGUGUGCAACAACAUCAACGCUGGUAAGCAACUUUUGCUCAGACAGAGAAAACAAUAAUCAUUAAUUAGCGGCAGCUAGAAUCCUAUAAUCUAAUAUAUAUAUAUAUAUAUAAUUUUAUCAGCUCUGGGAAAUGAAGAGGCGAACGAUGCCGUUGAGAGUUGCGACCAAGCCUGCUCUAGCUUCUGCAGCGUGCAUGUUGGCAGCGCCACCGUGGUUGCUUAAGCAAAUGCAUCCAACUAGAUCGUCCUUGUGCUGAAUAAUUGGAUAUCGUAUCCACUUAAAGCUGCCUUGUGUAGUACGUCUUUGUGUCUCUCUUUAUAUUCCAAUAAGGUCGGUGAUCUUGAUGCCACACACUCAGAUGUGUGUUCAUCUCCAGAUACUACUCCAUGCUACCUGCCCUUUGUGUUUUGUUCAAUAACUGGGUAUCAUAUCCCAGCCAGUAUGCCGUCUGUUUUGUGUUUGUUUCCUUCUAGUUCCAAAGGGGUCAUCAUGAUGUUACCUUCUUUCAAUAUGGUGCUUUGCAUGACUACUGUUGUAUGGUACCAUCUUGUGGCCAAUAAGUACAUCUUAUCCUAUGACCUUUGCUAUGACCCUUUGCAAAUAAGUAGAAGAUUGUUAUAAGCGUCAAUACUCCGUAUAAAUUGAUCGCUGCUGUGAGUUCCCUUUCAGCUUAUCGUAGGCAUACAUUAUUGCUAGCACGGUAAAGCCAACCAACACGAAUGAUGAAGUAAACGUAGCGGUACUUCUGUAUACCAACACCCUUACUUAAAUGUACCGGUGUCAUUCCCUACUGGCACAUAUAUUCUUAUAUGCUAGCCAGCUUGUAAAAUUAACCAAUUAAAAUAAUUAUUUCAAGAUAGAAAUAACUUAUCGGUUUCUGGAAGCAUGUGUAAUGUGAAUUCAAGGACUCGACGGAAGUUGAAUCACUUCAUCUAUAUUGCUUUCAGUAUUUUGGGUAACUAAAUUUAACAUUUGCACAUACAAAUGUUAAAGUACAAAUGUUAAAUCUAGUUACCCAAGCAGAAUAUGAAGAUAGUUUAUAGUAUAUAUAUACUAUAUAAAUCUAGUUAACAUUUAGUCUAAAUGUUAAAUCUAGUUACCUAAAAUCCUGAAAGCAAAAUGUAUAAAUAUAUAUCUUUUAAGGCAGUAUAAGCUUCGAUUCCUAUUGCUGCUCUGUUAAAUCUCAUCUUUCGUUGUGGCCCAACACUCUAGUAUGCAUGUUGCACCAAGCUUCUUUGAGCCGCUCUGCCCUCUGAUUUUGCUGCGUAGGGGAAUCUUUAUCAGGUUGGGCUACUUCCAGUUGUGCGAUGUAAAGAUUCGUAUUUUCUAGAAGGUAGACAAAAAACUCGCGUUCUCUUAAGGCAACAACCGGAAGAUUCUGCAGCGCACAGGGCAUACCAUUAUUGUAGAAACGACCUUUAGUACCGAUCUCCAACCCCCUUUAAAACUGGUUUUGCAACCGGUACCGUUAUGUCGGUCCUUUAGUACCAGAUCAAAUAAGUACCGGUUGGUAACCAGUAUCAACUUGUUUUGCGGCCAAAAAAAUAAAGAAAAAAACAGUCAGAAGGCUCGCGCACACGCGCAUCACAUGAAAUAUGCGUGUGCGGGGUCCAUGGGAUUCGAACCCAUGAAAUCAAGCUGCGCGCGACCCUUCGUUACCAUCUCACCUACAUAGCGCAUAUGCUUUCCUGAAGUAACCCGUGGAGGAGGCUUUAGUACCGGGUCAUAACACCACCCGGUACUAAAAAUGACUCUUCAGUACCGGGUCAUAACACCACCCGAUACUAGUAUCGGAUGGUGUAAUGACCCGAUACUAAAAGGCCUCUAGGGACCCUCAAAUUUGAACCCGGUACUAAUGCUAAUAUUAGUAGCGGGUCAAAGUGCAGCCAGAACUAAAGCAUGGGAUGAAAGGUCAUAUUUCUAGUAGUGUAUAGUUGUUGUGAAGGACUGACUUGGCUGUCCUCUCUCUUCUCCAUCCCCUUGGUCUUACGCCGCCGCUCGCACGCGAGCCGGUGCCCAACCAGAGGAGUGAGAGCUAGGGGCAGGUUGGGAGGUGGGGAUAGUGACUGGUGGCCAGGGUGAUGGUUGAUCCUGGUGGGGUUAGGGUUUUAGGGUUUUCGAGCUUCCUAUGGUCGGCGAACCUAGAGGAGGAGCUCAACAUCAGCUGCAACCCGCGAUGGUGGUGGUUUGGCCGGCGCCCGAGGCGAGGCAGCGCGGGAGUGCUGCCGGUGGGUUGGUGUUGGCACUCAUUAUUGACAACUAUUUUGUUCAUAAAAUAACACUCAAACUUGCUGCUGCUGCUGCUGCUGCCAUCGCCACCCUAGCCAUAAUAUAAAGGCAAAAUUUGCUAAAGGACAUGCAAAAUGAUGCUAGUUUGCUGGCGGGCAUCGUUGACCUUGUAAUAUGCUACAAGACACUCUAGUUGUGUAUCAAUUUGCUGAAAGACAUUGCUAUGACUAAAAUAAUGUUUCUGGACUGAGUUGGAGAGAGAGAUGGAGUGAAAUGUCUGUUUUGCCCAUGACCCCACUGGUCAGAUCCUUCUUCUUCCACCCUCCUUUGUUCUUUCUUCAACCAUUACCCAGCUCCAGCGUGUUGCAGAUCUACGAGGGUGGCGGCCUGGGGCGAGGGGCAUCGCUCGCCCUUGGAGGAGCGCUGCGAGCGACGGCGCGGGGGCGGCAACAGCGCGUCAGAACCUGACUGUUCGUUAGCUCCUCUCGCUGCUGGGGAAGGAGGGGGAUGGGCCAUGGACGGGGUUCCCUUGAAAACCUCAGCGUCGAGCUCGGGCGGCUACGCGCAGGCAGCACUAGGCUGCUUCACGGGGAGGGGGCGCGGCCAAUCAUUGGCACCCCACUGGUCCAAUGCUGAUGAAGAUGGUGCCAGCGUCGUGUGAGGACAUCUCAUCUCCUCGAGUUCCAUGGCCAGCACAGGUGAGCUGCCGCUACCACAAAACAGAGGUUUCGUGAGAGUCAAAAAACCUUAUGAAAAUAGCUAAAACCAUCAUGAAAAUAAUCCGUGACAUGACACUCUCACGAAAAUCCUCUCACAAAUAUGGUGCCAUGAAAAUACCAUUUUCAUGAGAGUGAACUGUCAUGAUUUUAUUUCGUGAGAGUAUUUCCUAUCAAUGACCUCCACGAAAUACUUUGUGCCACCAGGUCUUCAAGAUCAUUUUCAUGAGAGCUGAACAUCAGGAAAAGUCCGCCACAAAUGUUUUUCUUGGAGCCCCUAACUCUCAUGAAAAUCAUGCGGGCCGCCACGAAAAACAGCAUGACCAAAUGACAAAUUUCAUUUUCAUGUGUUCAUACCGCCAUGAAAAUGGUCAUUUUCAUGAGAGUUGAUGAAACAAAAAAUAGUGCCAUUUUCAUGAGAGUUCAAGCAACCAGGAAAAGACACUAAUAAACAUCCAGAUCCCAUCCAGCACACAUCCAUGCACAUAUAUAACCCACAUAUUGCUCCAGCACACAUCCAUGCAUAUACAAGAUCCAAAUGUUAAUAUAGUAGACAUCCAUGCCUGAACUAGUCUGCCACACAAGUCAUUGAUGCUACAAAUCCUACAAUCGCAGCAUGUGCAUACAAGUCACAGAAUGAGACAAUGUACCCAAAACUAAAAGGUUAGCAUCAACUGUGCUUCAACCAAAGUUGUCAUCCCAACUCUCCUCUUCAUCCAUGCCAUUCUUGUCGUGGCCGUCACUGUCAGUCCCCAUGGCAUUGCCAAUGCUGUGCAUGUCUUGGUAGGAACCUACAUGUGAUGAACUAGUAACCUGCAAAAAGAGCUCAAAGGAUCUUGUUCUCAUAUUGUAGCUGUGAAAUUCUUACAAGUAGUGUUGCAAUCAGUUCACUUUGAACCAAAAGAGCUCAAAGGAUCUUGUCCUAAAAGUUCCUCAUAAAGCUUAUGGGUUUGCUGGUGGAACUGGAAGGGCUUGAUGCAGCAGAUGCCAUUCUGCAAUAGAGAAAAAUUUAGAGAGCAGUACUAGUUAAAAUUGGAUGCAGAAGAUACACAUGAAACUAGUAUUUAUACAAGUCUAUACAAUUAAAAUCUAAGGAGACUUAUCAUCGUUUUCAUGUGUUGUGAAUUAAAAUAAUGAAGGAUACACUGUUAGGUGAAAAUUCAAGAAACAAAAUUUUGCAUAGAGAUAAAGGUCCAACAUUAUUACAAGUUAAGGUAGUUUUAAAUAUCCUUGUAAUCUUCCUUUGGUUUCCUCAACGAUUCGAAGACAAUAACCUUGCUUCUAUCAAUGAUAAUUAUAAGGAGAAUCCAGUGGAAACUGUGUAUUCGUAUUAGAACUACCUAAGGUUAAUUAGGUUAGGAAAGGAAAUUGAAAAUAGAUGGUACCCACACUUACUUAAAGUUGUCGGGCAAUAGUAUGUAAUGCUUGUAAUUCCGUUGCUCCAAGAAUUUGUAUAUGUGGUCCAAUGUAGACUUUGGUUGAUCCCGUAUCUGCUGUUGGUUAAAUAAGUGUUUCUAGCCAUUUCUAGCCAUUAGAACCGGGACUAAAGGGGGCUCUUUAGUACGGGUUGAUAUUACUAACCGGGAUUAAAGAGCCCCCAUUAGAGUUGGUUUUUGGAUGCGGAACUAACAACUCCUUUAGUCCUGAGUACGAAAACAACUGACAUAUUUGUUGCUGGAUGGAAGGUCCUUUCUCUACCGUGAAUAUUGCCAGAAAGAAUUGAAAGAGACUGCUUGCUAAAAAUAUGUCAUAGAUGUAGACCAAGCUACCAAGGAGGUAGACCAAACAUGAUACACACCAUGCGUACCUUGCUGUGCAGACUAUGCAUUGACAAGAUACCCGACCACAUGUUGGCCUCGGUCACAUCAAAAGAAUCAUGUAGGCCACCAAUAAACUACUUGAAGCGGCAUUCCGUAUCGUAUAUGCAUUGCCGGUUCAUCUGCAUUACAUUACAUAAAGCACUAUUAACUAUUUGAAUAAAAUGAACCAAUUUAAAAGUAAUGUGUUGUACUCUACUAUAGAAAGCCCUAUCACUGCCGGAUCCAAAAACAUCAUUGUUAAUGGUGGUUAAGUACCAAAUAUGACGGUCAAUAUUCUCAAGAAUAAUGGAGAAUUAGCAUUUCUUAGACACAUAUUUGGUUUUGAACAAUGUAGUUCCACAUGUCUUUGGAGAUUAUUUGGGUGUGGGUGAAAUAAUACAAAAAUAAGGAGAAAACACACUCCCAUGGCGAAGAAACACAACUCCAACCAAUGAGAGAUAGCCACAGGGGCAGCACACGGAUCCAUGGGCCCACUAACCGCAUCAAACCAUCUUACCAAGGCAGGUAGCACCCACAACCGUCAUUAGGACCCACCUGGAAGUCUACCAAGAAGAAGGUUGCGAGUGGGGCCAGGAGGGGUUCGGUUGAAUCAUCUCUAGCUAGCUCCCCUCAUCCCCAGCUGGUGGGUGGUGGUGGUUGAUGGUGUCCCUACAUCAGUUAGAGGAGAUUCCCCCAAAUAUUCCUCCUGUAAACCACCUCUAUGGACCUAUACAUAGAGGGGUGUGCUCUCCAUUCCAACACACACCACAAGUUGAAUCACUCUCUCCCUCUUUAGUUUCCAAGUUUAUGGAGUUAGGCUAGAGUAGCUCUGCUCAAGGUUCCAAGUCCACUUGGAGUUAAGCAUAUGUCUCUUGUAUCGUUAUUUCCUAAAUUGACUUUAUGCUUAGUUCUUAUAUGCAUGAGUUAGUCUAAUACCCUUGCUAUAUUGAUAUGCUCGGCUUAUAUGCUCGUAUGCUAGUCAUAUACCCUUGCUGUCGUAGUAUAGGCUUAUAUGCUCUCAUGUGUGCCUGUAGACCUUGCUAUAGUAUAUACUUGUUGUGCAUACAUACCAUGUAUAGGCUAGUCGAUCUAUACCAUGGCAUUGGUUCAAUAGCCAUGUUUUUGGUGGCUCCAACCCUAGUCACAAUAGCUCGGGACAGCUGGAGUGUUGUUAAAAAUGCAAGAGUGGUGCUUGGGUUGUUUAGCAUCGUUGGAUAUGGGUUUGCCCCACGGGUUUCUAACGGUAGGCGGCAGCUAGUGACAUCCCUGUCCGUCCUUCGUAAUCCCCCCACAUUCAGGUACGCCAUAAAUGUUCGUAAAUUAGCAGUAACUACGCCGGUACACCUGUAGGGUAUUGUCUCCCUGUAGUACCUUGGUGCAUAGAACUAAGUCCUAUACACUGUGUGUGUAUGUUUACGCUGAUAUGAUCUGUGCAGUAUAUAGGAUGUAUAUAUGAACCUAGAGCUAACUCCUAGUCCGUUCUCCAUAGCUUAGUUAUCUUGAGAUGAUUCUUCUGUAUGUGUAACACUACCCAUCUUAUCAUUAUCCUUGAUCCUGUCUUGUGUAAUAUAUCUACUCAUCCUAUGAUAUACUCAUAUGCAUAGUAAACUAUUUUGACCUACCCGCCUUCCUUUGGGAAAUAUGAUACCUUGGAAUAAUCCUAGGUGAAAUCCUACAACGGUAUAUCCAUGUAAAUGCGGAUUUAUUCAUGACCAUUAAAUAUACCAACAAUCAUCACUGUGAGUUUUGGGCGUCGUUAGUGAAGGGUUGGUAGUGAUGGGCAUCCCCUUCACCAAUGGACCUGGAACCGGCGGUGAUGGCUAUUAUAAAAAAGGGGACACCACCCAGCGUACCCCACGACCCGGCCGGCCGCACCUCCCAUCAUCCCCGCCAGCCGCCCUUCCUUUUCGCCGGCCGAGCAUGGUCCCGGCCUUUGUCCCUACCACCUCGCCUCCACCGCGACCCCCCGCCGAUGCCCUCGUGCCUGGCCCCCCUCAUCUUGCCGGCCACCCUCCCGAUGCGUCCACUGGGGCCCUCGCACCACCAACCGCCCUUGCUUAGAGAGGGAGAGAGAGGAGGGAGGUGAGGCCACGCACCUCGUCCUACACCGCCGCUGUUUCUCCUCGGCCCACCGCGCCUCACCCCACACCACAGCCGCGCCUUGCCAUCUUACCGGCUGUGACGCCUCAUCUCACCGGCCACCGUUCCUCACCCCCACUUCGGUCGUCGCCGCUCCUUGCCCUACCGCUGCUCUUUGCCGCUGCGAAUGAGCGCCGAGUGGAGGAGGAGGGAUGGGGCAGGAGGAGGGCAAGAUCCGGGAGGAAGGGAGAGAUCUCGGGAGGUGGAGAUGGAAGGAUAUGGCGGAAGGGAGAGAUCCAGAGGGAGAGAGCAGGGGAGAGAGGGGGGCGUGUGGGGAGAGAGCGCGUGUGGGGUGGGGCCGGGCUGGUGGGAUGGAAGGGAGAGGGGCUAGACGGGCGCAGUGCAUUCAACUGGAUGAAGUAAAUAUUUUGGAUUCGAGACCCCAGCUUUAUUAUCACCGCUGGUCCGUAGUACCAUCCGGUGCCUGCUCGUAAUUUAAUUUGAAUCUGCGGUGAUGUUUUAUUAUCACCAUCGGAUCAUAUAAAAAUCCGGCGGUUAAAAAUCCGCUGGUUUCGAUGAAAACCGACGGUGAUAGGAUGACUGUGAUAGUCUCUUCUCUAGUAGUGGUAUAUUAGUACCGGCUGCCGGAUGGUGUUGCCGACCAGUACUUCUCCGGGGGCGAUUCAGUACUGCUGUUAGCAAAGCUUGUUCUCUAUGAAUUUGGGGAUGGAAAGCUAGUUCUCUAGUUGUGAUUUGUUACAUAUAUAUCUAUGAUAGUCUAGAAAUUGCAUGUCCUUCGUUGACAUAGUUGAAGCUGCUUCAAGAAUUUACUUCGUGCAGUCGUGCAGCAUAUUGGAUUAUCACCUAGACAGGAUACAUAGGUGAAGCAUUGGAUGUGAUUGUGGCCGAUAAUUAUGCAGGACGCUGUUGCAAUCAACCACCAAGAAGUCUGGAGUGAUGGGGUUGCCUCAUCAAUAAUUUUUAUAUAUGGCUGCAGUAUUAUUAAGCCCACGUCAAUAAUUUUUUGUCCGCACCAUAUAUCGAUGGGGUUGCCUCAUCAAUAAUUCGCGCAACCAGACAAGCUGCAGACUCAAUAUGGUACGAAGCUAGUUGCUCAGCCCACAUGCUCUGAUAUAACAUUGACAUCUGCUGAUCUACAGUAUAUAUGACCAGAAAUAUUGUGCCCACCUCAAUAACUUUCUGAAGUAUCGUGGGGAAGAACCUACGCGUACUAUGCCUCGGAACUAACUGACAUAUCGGCCCAGGCGGUCUAGGCCGAUUGGACUGGCUCUUCCUUGUGGCUUCUCACAUCCCCUUCGUCCCCAAGUAAUUUCAGGUGUUCUGUAGUUUUCUUUUCACUUGCAUCUGAGCCUCCUAUAUCAAUAGCUUCGGGAUAAGAAUGCCUCUUGAUAACCUUCCAAAUCCUCGCUUGAUUCACAUUGAUUCCGAAAUCAUCUUGCCAUAUCUUCAGAGACUUAGGUCCUAAGGCAUCAUGGAGGAUUGCUCGCCAAGAAUGAGCACCAUUGGGCUCCUGAGGACCCUAGGCCGAUCAGCCCGGGCUCUAUAGGUCGAUUGGCCCAGGCCCUCUCUGGGCCUGUUGGCCUUCAUCUUUCUUUGAGUCGACGCUUAUUCAGGGCUUUGUCCAAUUAUAGUCCAUUAUAGUCUAAUUUCCUAAAAAACAGAAUGUCCUCCAAAAUACAAUGCAUAUGUGAAAACAACCCAAUUAUUAGGUAUGAUCAAUAGUUUAGGUAUUAAAUUAAUAUUAUUAUUUAAGAUAAACAGGGGUAAAGGGUGUCAUUAAUAACAAGCGCCAACAAGCGUCCUAGCUGUUCAAUAAAUUUUUUCUAGUACCGAUUGGUAACACUAACCGGUGCUAAUAUGUACCCUUUAUUACCGGUUAUUUUACCAGGUACUAAAGGAGACAAGAGCAUCCUAACAUAAGGUUAAUAUCAUCCAUUUCAUGAGUAAAAUACUAUGAUUCAAAAAUAAUUCAAAUCCCUUAAGACAAUACCUAUCAAAUGAGUAAAUUGUAAAUAGAGUAAUCUUGAUCAAACAAUGUCCUAAUGAAACGGAACACUUCUGGUUCGUGUAGAGCACAAUAUAGAAAACAGUAGGGUAGCUGUAUGAUUGACACGUGGUCCAUUAAUUAUUGAGCCAACACUAUGGACAUGUCUUCAUGAGUAGUGUACUAGUCAUAAUACAUGGUAUGCAGUAGGUGGAGGUAUUGACUUAGCCAUGCUAUGAGCACUUAGUUACAACAAACACUUUGCCAUUAUCGAGCAUCCCAAAUCACUACAAAAUCCAUAGUUUACCAUAUACUACAAAAUCUGAGUUAAAAUAAGAGCAUACACGGAAGAGUCCGAAUGCACGGCACAUUGAAUUACUAGACAAAAUUUAUGGGACAAGGUUUUGGGUAACCGCAUGAAAAAUAUUGGAUUUUACUGAACACUUAGUUACAAUUACCAUGCCCGUGAGCACUUAGUCACCACAAACAUUUAACCACUUUAGAUCAUCCUGAAUCCCUAUAAAUUCUAUACCUUACACCGUACCAUGAAAACGACAAGAACAGAGACAGAUGCGGUGAAAAUCUCCAGAGCAAGCCUGAAAUUAAAAUAAGAGGAGGCAGUCACUAUCGACAGGACACGGAGAUUGCUAGCCAUGACAGAGGAAGACAUGAUAUGAUAUUCACCUCUGAAAUGCAGCGUAGACUAAAUGAAGCACAAUUGCAAGUGAGUGUGGCAGAUAAUGGACCAUCGAGACCAUCGAAUGGUAUGAAGCAUGAUUAUCACCUAGACAUGAUAUCCUAGACAGGACGGUGAAUUGUAAAAAGAGUAAUCUUGAUCAAAGAAUGUCCUAAUGAAACGGAACAUUUUUGGUACGUGUAGAGCAAAAUAUAGAAAACAGUAGAGUAGUUGUACGAUUGAAACUGCAUCCAUCGACGUGGUGCAUGAAUUGUUGAGCCAACACUGUGGACAUGUCUUCAUGAACACCAUCUAGUGAGGACAGCAUGCAGAAAAAUAUAAAAACAUGUCAUAGGGAGGCAGACCAAUCUUGCGAGGUAGACGAAACGUGAUACACGAUCUGCCUACCUUGUCGUGUGGAUACCCCAAGUGAAGAUGUCAUAGAGGUGCAGACCAAGCUAGCAAGGAGGUAGAUGAAACGUGAUACACGGCCUGCCUACCUUGCCGUGGAUAUUAGUCCUGAUAUCAUUCUAUUGUUCAAGGAAUAACACUCAAUGCUGCUGCUGCUGCUGACCUGGCUCCAUAAAGUUAUAUUCCUCUAGCCGCUUGCACUAACUUUAUCUGAAGUAUUAUUCUCUCUGCACUGUAUAUAUGGUUACGGAGUUUGCUGGAGUAUCCGGGGGGAAGAACCUACAUAAUAUGUCUUGGAACUAACUGACAUUGAUUCACAGACAAGGUGCUGUUGUUGACAUGGUACAGUAAAUAAUAUAGUUUACCAUAUACCGUAUACCAUUAUAUGUUAGCUAAAAUAAGAGCAUAACAUGUCGCAGGAGUCCAAAAGCACCGGUUGAGGACCAGGUACAUUAAAUUACUAGAAAACAAAAGGGGACAAGGUUUAGGUAGCCACAUGAAAAACAUUUGAAUUUACUGUACCAUGAACACUUAGUUACCAUGCCGGGAGCACCUAGUUAACACUAACAUUUAGCCACUUUAGAUCAUCCCGAAACACCAAUGACCCUCAAUAGCGACAAAUUUUGGUUUAAAUGCCGUCACCAAUGAUCCUCAAUAGUGACGUGUUUAGGUUUAAAUCCCAUCACUAAUAACCCUUGGUAGUGACGUGUUUUGGUUUAAAUCUCAUCACCACUGAUCCUCACUAGUGACGUGUUUUUAGCAACACACGUUAUGAAUGACUUGUCAUUGGUGACAUGUUAAACGCGUUAUCUCAAUGGCAAAUCAAUGGUGACGUGUUUAAAAAAACAUGUCACUGUGAGAGUUAUUGGUGAAGGGUAAUUAAAAUGCAUCACUAAUUUUGUAGCAUUAGUUAUGAUAUAAUUUUGUAACGCAAAAAUCUACCAUAGUAAUGAGGUUUAGAGCCAUCACUAAUGUGGGUUUCUUAUCGUAGUGAUGCAAGCUCUACAAGGUGCUGUUGUUGCCAUUUUAAAGCAUCCCAAAUGACUACAAGAGUCCGGUUGAGGACUAAACAAAUUGAAUUACUAGAACCAAAUGUAUGUCCAGAACAAAGAAAGGGGUCAAGGUUUGGGUAACCGCAUUAAAAACAUUGAAUUUUACUGUACCAUGAACACUUAGUUACCAUUACCAUGCCUUGAGCACCUAGUUACCACAAACAUUAAUUUAGCCACUUUAGAGGUUCCACAAUCACUAUAAAUAAUAUACCAACACCGUACCAUGAAAACAUCAAGAAGAGAGACGGGUACAUGGACCACCAUCAAGUGAGUAGUGACAGCACGCACAAGAAUACCCGGAACCUUUUAGCUUGUCUGUAGUGAUCUGUUUUCUUCGCCACAAAUAAUGAAAGAGGCUGACCAAGCUAGCAACGAGGUAGAGCAAACGUGAUACACGUAGGUUUCAUUCAAGACAUCCAUGUAAGAUUCAUUCAAAACAUUCAUGGAAAUUUCUUGUAAGUUUUCAUGUAAAUUUCAUUCAAGACAUUUGUUAGAGGUGUUGUAUAUACACUUAACGUACAUAUAUCUAUGAUUUCAUGGUUGUUAGUGAUGGCAGAUGAGGAGCAUGCAAGGUGUUUAAUGGAGCAGAUUAUUGCUAGUGGUAGUGGCUCCAACCUGCCCGUAACGUACACCGACGAAGAGGGCAGCCAGGCGGACAUGUUCCUCAACAUGUCCGGUGAUGGCAAUGAAGAGCCCGAGCAAAACCUUGCCGUGACGGAAGGUUCCAUCGAGGUAUAUAUCAUUUCCAUUAUUUUACCCCAUCUAUAAUUUCAUAUUCAUUAUUACUAUGUGCUAAUUAAUGAAUCUUGAACCGUUAGUCCUCUAGAUCAACGAACCGAAAUAAGCCCCGAGGUCUUACAAAGAUAAUGCAGGGAAGGCUUCACAUCAUGGAAGUCACAGAAGAGGGCACAUCGGUUGCUCCCGAACAUGUGGCAAGAAAGUACGUGAGUCAAACCGGGGCAAUCGUAAGGGACAACAUGCCCAUCAGCAUCAGGGAAUGAAAGAGCAAUAGAAAUGAUCUAUACGCACCCCCGGAUACACAAAAGGAUAUGUUGUGGGCAAAUAUCAAGAAACACUUCACAUUUCCCAAAGGAUAUGUUGAAAAAUAUGUGAAAGCGUGGAUGUUGAAGAAGAUGGCCACCCAAUUCCAGACAUUCAAGAAGAUGUUGGAUGCCAACUUCAUCAAGAAGGGUCGAACUCCGGGUUUCAAUGAGUGGCCAAAGUUAAGGGACCACUGGGAGUCGUUUGUCGAAUACAAGACGAGCGAAGGUGGUGCGAGUAAGGUUCACAUCAAUGUUGCCAAUGCUAGCAAGGAGUACCAUCAUCAUCUAGGGCGACGUGGUUACAGCUCUGCAAUUCCCAGAUGGCGCAAGAUGGAACAAGACCUGAUCGAUCGGGGUAUCGUACCAGCAACUCUUGACUGGAUCGAUUGAAAAAUUGGUAUUAUGCUCAUGAAGGCAAUCUGAGCCAAGAGGAUCCGACAUUGGUCUUCAAUAAAACAAUACGUCAGAAGGUCGGAAGGCUUAUUAGGAACAUUGAAGAUGCUAAAGCUGGGAGGUUCAAGGUGGAUAGAGAGAAUGAUGAACUCACAUUGGCCCUCGGGACUGUCAUCUCUAGCACUUCCAGCUCCAGGACUAUCGUCACCACCGGGACCGUCGCUUCCUGCUCGAUCACAGUCUCCAUCUCCAGCACAUCCUGGUGGUGCGAGCGACGACGACAACAACACCCCUCCCUGCCCACCAUUGCCGGGACUAAGACCCGCAUUGAGUAAGGAACCUGCAACACCACUGAAGAAGUCGCGACCACCACCUUCAAGGCAAGUCAGCAAAAGAAGAAAGCAGAGAAGCCUAAACCCACUGAGAAGCCAGCGACUGAUAUGACCGAUGCGGAAAGAUGGAAGGCACUCAAAGAAGAAUGCAGGGAGUGGUUCAGCGAAGGCGAAGGUGAGAAAGUCGUAUGAAUCGAAUUCAAGGAUAUAUAUGAAGUGAACCAUCAGGAUGCCCUUGAUGUCUCUCUCAUCAGCGCCUAGGUUCUGUAAGUGUAUGUUUAUCUAUAAGUAAAUUUUGGCUCAUAUCAUUAUUUUUUUUGCGUGCGUCACCCUACUAACUUCGUCUUCCAUUUUAUGUAGGAUGCUAAUUCAGACGUGCCGCAUAGAAGCGUACUUCCAUGUUGGAUUCAUGGAUCCAUCCCUAGUUAACCAAAAGCCGAUACGGAAGUAGCUAGAGAAAACGUUGGAGGUGGUGUACAACCUCCUGGACAAACUAAACUACAGAAUAGGGGCAAUAUGUGAGGGUCUUGUAGGAUUCCUAGUGGACGAGGUGAUAAAUCCAUAAGGAGAAUAUCAUUCCAACGGACGAGCAUUAGACACACUGAGCAACACCUAGAUGGGAGGAUCCUAGGAAUGACCUCGACAGAUUUUGGUAUAAAUAGUAAUUGUGUAAAUACUAGUUUGAUUUGUAUAGGAAUAUACUAAGAAUUGUAUAUAUAGUAAUUGUACAAAUACUAGUUUGAUUUGUAUGAAUACUAGAUUGAUUUUAUUAUAAAAAAGUUUUAAGUCGUACGUGCAUGCGCCUACAAAGGCGCGGAUGCCUUUUAAUCCCAGUCGGAAAAACAAACUGGUACUAAAGGGGCUCGUGCCGCACCUGGCAUGACCACCCCUUUAGUCCCGGUUGAACGACCCAGGACUAAAGAUCUCCGCGUCUCAAAAAUUUUAUCUCGGAUGCUUUUUAGAGAGAUUUGAGGCCUAUCAACCAAGACUAAUAUCGAGUUUUCUACCAGUGAAACUAACUAACGUUCACAUGGUUUUGACAUUCACCUGCCAUUUGGUGUAGACAAGGGCACCCUAACAUAUGGUUAAUAUUAUUCUUGAAAGAAAAUCCUUUGAUUCAAAAUACUUCAAACCUAAUAAUACAAUACUUCUCACAUCUGAAAAAUAUGAGACGGCCCGACAGUAUUCUAAUCGACGCAAUAAUAUUUUGAGGGCAGCACUACUACAGCGACCCUCAUUCGUGCCGGUGCUGGGACUCCUAUCACGACCCUGAUACAAAUGAGGGUACAUUAUUGGUGCCAGUGCUAGAACAGCCACGAAUAACUUGCUAAACGUGCUGUUACACUCACUACAGGGACCAAGAAGGUAGAUAAAUUACACGACAUAGCCUUGGUUGCCGUGGAAGCGCCAAGAAGGGAGACAAAUUACAGGGACCACACCAUCAAGUAGAUAGUGACAAUAUGCAAAAGAAUACCCGCGCCUGUUAGCAUGUGAACUGACCACACCACGAAACGUGAUACACGGCAAGCGUACCAAGGCCUUGCUGUGCAGACUAUGCAUGGACAACACAUGGUACCUGACCGCUUUUGGCCUCAGACACAUCGAAAAACUGCAUCGUUCCACGUUGUACAUCCAUUGCUAGUUUAUCUAUAUUACAUAAUAUAUUAUUAGCUAUUUGAAUAGAAUGAACCAAUUAAAAAAUUGCGUUGUAUUUUUAGUACCGGCUGCAGGAUGGUGUUACCAACCAGUACUAAUUGGCCUGUAGGAGUGAUGGUUAUUAGACUUGGUACUGUUGUUAGCAUCAUUAACCUAAUUGUGCGCCGUAUGAAUUUGGGGAUGCAAAGCUAGCUCUCUAUGAAUGUGAGGGAUGGAAAGCUAGUUCUCUAGUAGUAAUUAUAUAUAUGACAGUCAAGAAAUCGAACACUAUGCUGCUACGAGUCACCAUCAUUUCCUUCAUUGACAAUCUGACAUAGGUGAAGCUGCUUCAAUAAUUUCCUUCGCGCAGUCGUGGAGCUUAUUGGAUUAUCACCAGGACGGGACACGGAAAUGGCCAGCAAUGAAGCUGAUUGCCGUCUGAGGAAGACUACAUACUUACCUAUGAAAUGAAGCGAUUGCAUAGACUAAUGAAGCAUUGCAUAUUUGCAUGUGAGUGUGGCAGAUAAUUCUGCAGGACAUGAUUGCAAUCCACGCACCAUCGAGAAGACUGGGGCGAUGGGGUUGCCUCAUCAAUAAUCACGUGGAUGCAUGCAUGCAUGUUCCCGCAACCGGACAAGGGUCUGAUAUAUGGCUAUAGUAUUACUGAGCCCACAUCAAUAAUUUCCACUGGUGUAUCGUGUGGGAAGAAUCAACAUACUACACCUCGAGUUCUUGGAACUAACUGACGUUCACAUGCAACCUCCACAAGGUGCUGUAUGCUUUUGACAUUCACCUGCCAGUUCGUGUAGAGAAGGACACCCUAACGUAUAGUUAAUAUUAUCCAUUUCAUGAGUAAAAUACUGUGAUUCAAAAAUACUUCAAAUCCCUUGAGACAAUACUUCUCACUUGACUAACCACUAACCAACCCCGAAACCCUAACUCAACUCCGAACCCUAACCCCUAACGGCAUAACCACUCCGUUUUGCCGGCGAGAUGGAGGAACUGGCUGGAAGGUAGAGAGGGCAGCGGUCCAGGGUUGAAAACGACGGGCGAGCGCAGUAACAUGUGGAGGAGGAAGUGCCACGUAUUCGUUCACCGCUAUUGGGCAGCGACACACGACACGCCCAAUAAGAUCUUCGCACGGUAGAAGGACGUCAUGUAUUCAAUAAUGUUAUUGGUCCCCCAUGUGCAGAAGGGCGCGCGCGUAUGGAAUAACAAGUAGGGACACUGCAACUAAUCUACUCUGCUCGUCCAGUCCCUAGCCUAUAAAUAGAUGCCAUGCUAGCUCUUGUUGUGCUCACAAUUAAUCCGAUUACACACGAGCUUCUCUCCCUGGCCAAGACACAACCAUAGUAUGAUGAAGAACAUGGCACUAGCCGGCAAUGGUAUGAAGAAGUUAAUCCUCGCUGUUCUCUUACUGUGUCUAGUUAUAGGGCAGAUACAAGUGGAAGCUAAGAGCUGCUGCCCAUCCACCACUGCAAGAAAUGUCUACAAUACCUGCCGUUUCACGGGUACAUCCCGUCCAACGUGUGCAAAACUGUCAGGCUGCAAAAUUAUCAGCGGGAACAAAUGCAAGCCCCCUAACGACCACCUCACCCUUGACCCGGACACUGGUAAAUAAUAAAUUUAUCUCACUUGAUUUCUUCGUGAUUUGAGUCGUUAAUGUAUUUUCCAUCUGAUGAAACGUAUUGGUUUUGCAUUGAAGAGGAAGUUAAUGUGCUUAACUUCUGCAAGUUGGGGUGUGCGUCGUCUGUGUGCAACAACAUCAACGCUGGUAAGCAACUUUUGCUCAGACAGAGAAAACAAUAAUCAUUAAUUAGCGGCAGCUAGAAUCCUAUAAUCUAAUAUAUAUAUAUAUAUAUAAUUUUAUCAGCUCUGGGAAAUGAAGAGGCGAACGAUGCCGUUGAGAGUUGCGACCAAGCCUGCUCUAGCUUCUGCAGCGUGCAUGUUGGCAGCGCCACCGUGGUUGCUUAAGCAAAUGCAUCCAACUAGAUCGUCCUUGUGCUGAAUAAUUGGAUAUCGUAUCCACUUAAAGCUGCCUUGUGUAGUACGUCUUUGUGUCUCUCUUUAUAUUCCAAUAAGGUCGGUGAUCUUGAUGCCACACACUCAGAUGUGUGUUCAUCUCCAGAUACUACUCCAUGCUACCUGCCCUUUGUGUUUUGUUCAAUAACUGGGUAUCAUAUCCCAGCCAGUAUGCCGUCUGUUUUGUGUUUGUUUCCUUCUAGUUCCAAAGGGGUCAUCAUGAUGUUACCUUCUUUCAAUAUGGUGCUUUGCAUGACUACUGUUGUAUGGUACCAUCUUGUGGCCAAUAAGUACAUCUUAUCCUAUGACCUUUGCUAUGACCCUUUGCAAAUAAGUAGAAGAUUGUUAUAAGCGUCAAUACUCCGUAUAAAUUGAUCGCUGCUGUGAGUUCCCUUUCAGCUUAUCGUAGGCAUACAUUAUUGCUAGCACGGUAAAGCCAACCAACACGAAUGAUGAAGUAAACGUAGCGGUACUUCUGUAUACCAACACCCUUACUUAAAUGUACCGGUGUCAUUCCCUACUGGCACAUAUAUUCUUAUAUGCUAGCCAGCUUGUAAAAUUAACCAAUUAAAAUAAUUAUUUCAAGAUAGAAAUAACUUAUCGGUUUCUGGAAGCAUGUGUAAUGUGAAUUCAAGGACUCGACGGAAGUUGAAUCACUUCAUCUAUAUUGCUUUCAGUAUUUUGGGUAACUAAAUUUAACAUUUGCACAUACAAAUGUUAAAGUACAAAUGUUAAAUCUAGUUACCCAAGCAGAAUAUGAAGAUAGUUUAUAGUAUAUAUAUACUAUAUAAAUCUAGUUAACAUUUAGUCUAAAUGUUAAAUCUAGUUACCUAAAAUCCUGAAAGCAAAAUGUAUAAAUAUAUAUCUUUUAAGGCAGUAUAAGCUUCGAUUCCUAUUGCUGCUCUGUUAAAUCUCAUCUUUCGUUGUGGCCCAACACUCUAGUAUGCAUGUUGCACCAAGCUUCUUUGAGCCGCUCUGCCCUCUGAUUUUGCUGCGUAGGGGAAUCUUUAUCAGGUUGGGCUACUUCCAGUUGUGCGAUGUAAAGAUUCGUAUUUUCUAGAAGGUAGACAAAAAACUCGCGUUCUCUUAAGGCAACAACCGGAAGAUUCUGCAGCGCACAGGGCAUACCAUUAUUGUAGAAACGACCUUUAGUACCGAUCUCCAACCCCCUUUAAAACUGGUUUUGCAACCGGUACCGUUAUGUCGGUCCUUUAGUACCAGAUCAAAUAAGUACCGGUUGGUAACCAGUAUCAACUUGUUUUGCGGCCAAAAAAAUAAAGAAAAAAACAGUCAGAAGGCUCGCACACACGCGCAUCACAUGAAAUAUGCGUGUGCGGGGUCCAUGGGAUUCGAACCCAUGAAAUCAAGCUGCACGCGACCCUUCGUUACCAUCUCACCUACAUAGCGCAUAUGCUUUCCUGAAGUAACCCGUGGAGGAGGCUUUAGUACCGGGUCAUAACACCACCCGGUACUAAAAAUGACUCUUCAGUACCGGGUCAUAACACCACCUGAUACUAGUAUCGGAUGGUGUAAUGACCCGAUACUAAAAGGCCUCUAGGGACCCUCAAAUUUGAACCCGGUACUAAUGCUAAUAUUAGUAGCGGGUCAAAGUGCAGCCAGAACUAAAGCAUGGGAUGAAAGGUCAUAUUUCUAGUAGUGUAUAGUUGUUGUGAAGGACUGACUUGGCUGUCCUCUCUCUUCUCCAUCCCCUUGGUCUUACGCCGCCGCUCGCACGCGAGCCGGUGCCCAACCAGAGGAGUGAGAGCUAGGGGCAGGUUGGGAGGUGGGGAUAGUGACUGGUGGCCAGGGUGAUGGUUGAUCCUGGUGGGGUUAGGGUUUCAGGGUUUUCGAGCUUCCUAUGGUCGGCGAACCUAGAGGAGAAGCUCAACAUCAGCUGCAACCCGCGAUGGUGGUGGUUUGGCCGGCGCCCGAGGCGAGGCAGCGCGGGAGUGCUGCCGGUGGGUUGGUGUUGGCACUCAUUAUUGACAACUAUUUUGUUCAUAAAAUAACACUCAAACUUGCUGCUGCUGCUGCUGCCAUCGCCACCCUAGCCAUAAUAUAAAGGCAAAAUUUGCUAAAGGACAUGCAAAAUGAUGCUAGUUUGCUGGCGGGCAUCGUUGACCUUGUAAUAUGCUACAAGACACUCUAGUUGUGUAUCAAUUUGCUGAAAGACAUUGCUAUGACUAAAAUAAUGUUUCUGGACUGAGUUGGAGAGAGAGAUGGAGUGAAAUGUCUGUUUUGCCCAUGACCCCACUGGUCAGAUCCUUCUUCUUCCACCCUCCUUUGUUCUUUCUUCAACCAUUACCCAGCUCCAGCGUGUUGCAGAUCUACGAGGGUGGCGGCCUGGGGCGAGGGGCAUCGCUCGCCCUUGGAGGAGCGCUGCGAGCGACGGCGCGGGGGCGGCAACAGCGCGUCAGAACCUGACUGUUCGUUAGCUCCUCUCGCUGCUGGGGAAGAAGGAGGGGGAUGGGCCAUGGACGGGGUUCCCUUGAAAACCUCAGCGUCGAGCUCGGGCGGCUACGCGCAGGCAGCACUAGGCUGCUUCACGGGGAGGGGGCGCGGCCAAUCAUUGGCACCCCACUGGUCCAAUGCUGAUGAAGAUGGUGCCAGCGUCGUGUGAGGACAUCUCAUCUCCUCGAGUUCCAUGGCCAGCACAGGUGAGCUGCCGCUACCACAAAACAGAGGUUUCGUGAGAGUCAAAAAACCUUAUGAAAAUAGCUAAAACCAUCAUGAAAAUAAUCCGUGACAUGACACUCUCACGAAAAUCCUCUCACAAAUAUGGUGCCAUGAAAAUACCAUUUUCAUGAGAGUGAACUGUCAUGAUUUUAUAAGCGUCAAUACUCGGUAUAAAUUGACUACUGCUGUGAGUUCCCUUUCAGCUUAUCGUAGGCAUACAUUAUUGCUAGCACGGUAAAGAGAACCAACACGAAUGAUGAAGUAAACGUAGCGGAACUUUUGUAUACCAACACCCUUACGUACCGGUGUCAUUCCCCACUGCCACAUAUAUUCUUAUAUGCUAACCAGCUUUGAAAAUUAAGCGAUUAAAAUAAUUAUUUCAAGAUAGAAAUAACUUAUCGGCUUCUCGAAGCUUGUGUAAUGUGAAUUCAAGGACUCGAUGGAAGUUGAAUCGCUUCAUCUAGAUUGCUUUCAGGAUUUUGGGUAACUAAAUUUAACAUUUGCACACACAAAUGUUAAUGUACAAAUGUUAAAUCUAGUUACCCAAGCAGAAUAUGAAGAUACUCUAUAGUAUAUAUGUACUAUAUAAAUCUAGUAAACAUUUAGUCUAAAUGUUAAAUCUAGUUACCUAAAAUCCUAAAAGCAAAAUGUAUAAAUAUAUAUCUUUUAAGGCAGUAUAAGCUUCAAUUCUCUGUUAAAUCUCAUCUUUCGUUGUGGCCCAACACUCUAGUAUGCAUGUUGCACCAAGCUUCUUUGAGCCGCUCUGCCCUCUGAUUUUGCUGCGUAGGGGAAUCUUUAUCAGGUUGGGCUACUUCCAGUUGUGCGAUGUAAAGCUUCGUAUCUUUUAGAAGGUAGACAAAAUACCCGCGUUCUGGAAGAUUCUGCAACGUGCACGUUGGCGCUGCCACCGUGGUUGCUUAAGCAAAUGCAUCCAACUGAAUCGUCCUUAAGCUGAAUAAUUGGAUAUGGUAUCCACUGCUUAAAGCUGCCAUGUUUAGUACGUCUUUGUUUUUCUCUCUUUAUAUUCCAAUAAGGUCGGUGAUCUUGAUGCCACACACUCAGAUGUGUGUUUAUCUCCAGAUACUACUCCAUGCUACCUACCCUUUGUGUUUUGUUCAAUAACUGGGUAUCAUAUCCUAGCCAGUGUGCCAUCUGUUUUGUGUUUGUUUCCUUCUAGUUCCAAAGGGGUCAUCAUGAUGUUACCUUCUUUUGAGGUGUCUAUGAUGACUUCGUUAAUAUCAAUAUUAACCAAUUCAAUCUGUCUUAACUAUUUGUAAGGGGUAUGAUGUAUGCAUGAUUAUAACAAUGAUUGCGCAUACAAUCGCCGCCAAAGAAACGGUCAAUACCAUUAAGACAUAUUACAGACAAUUCUCAUAAUCUAUAAUGAAUAUACAUAUUCACUACUGCAGAAGACUGUCAUUUGUAUCGGCUCAUACGUGCCAGGGCAAAGGUCACCCUUGCAUUAAGUACAUUUGCACGGUAAAGACAACCAACACGAAUAAUGAAGUAAACAUGCCGGUGCUUUUGUACACCAACACGCUUACUUAAAUGUACUGGUGUCAUUCCUCACCGGUAGCCGGCUUGAAAAUUAACCAAUUAGAACAAUUAUUUAUUGUAUCGGUGUGAUUUUUGACCUAUUGGAAUAUGAAUUUGACCGUUACUGCAUUCGUCAAGACUCAAGAGAGAAAUAACUGAUCGGCUUCUUAGAGCGUGUGCAAUGUGAAAUCAAGGACUGGAUGGAAGUUGAAGCGCUAGCACUAGUAGAGAAACGACUUUCCAUCCACCCCCUUUUGUCCCGGUUUAAAGUUGGCUCGGGAUAAAAGGUUCACCAACCGGGACUAAAACUCAGUCACUGGUGGGAGGCUCACCAACCGGAACCUUUUAUCCCGGUUGCAAAGGCUAAUGGGAAAAAAAGACUCUGAGAGGCCUUUUAUCCCGGUUUGAAACACCAACCGGGAUAAAAGACCCCCCUUUUAUCCCGGUUGGUAACACCAACCGAGAUAAAAGGGUCAAGAGCCUUUUAUCCCGGUUGGAAACACCAACCGGGAUAAAAGACCCCCUUUUAUCCCGGUUGGUGUUUCAAACCGGGAUAAAAGGGCCCCCACGAGGUGACUGGAAGGUGACUGGAAGGGGAUUAAAUCGUGGGGGACCCUUUUAUCCCGGUUGGAAACACCAACCGGGAUAAAAGGGGGUCUUUUAUCCCGGUUGGUGUUUCCAACCGGGAUAAAAGGGUCCCCCACGAGUUAAUACAAAAGGAUAGUAUCCCCUACAUAGUCAGAUGUGGUGUGUAGGUGGGAUGGUAAGGAAGCUACGCGCGAGCUCCGGAAUUUUUUUUUUUUUUUUUUGCAGCGUCGGCGCUCUCUACCCUUUUAUCCCGGUUGGUAUUACCAACCGGGAUAAAAGGGGGUCUUUUGUCCCGGUUGAGUGACCCGGGAUAAAAGACCCCCCCUUUUUUCCCCGGUUAGUUUAUCCCGGAUGCAUUUUCGGGAUAAAAGCACCCUACCAACCGGGAUUAAAGCUCACUUCUCUACCAGUGUAGCUUCAUCUUCCGCUGCAAGUUAAUUGCUUGGAUAAGAAGUUGUAGCCGCUGCAAGUUAUAAAUAGUCCCGCUGAUGCUGUGCUCCGAAGUCUAUACUAUAUAUGCGGAAACUAGAUUGCUUUCAGGAUUUUGGGUAACUAAAUUUAACAUUUGUACAUAAAAAUGUUAGUUUACGAAUGUUAAAUCUAGUUACCCAAGCAGAACAAGAAGAUAGUAUAUAGUAUAUACUAUAUAAAUCAAGUUAACAAUUAGUCUAAAUGUUAUAUCUACUUACCCAAAAUAUUGAAAGCAAAGAAAGAAUAAGUAUAUAUCUUUUGUUGGAAAAUUGGUCCACGGAGAGGCCCAUUUAGGCCUCGUUCGUUUCACCGGGAUGGGAUUCCAGUCAGGAUUACUUCCAAGUUCGGUUUGAGUGAUUCCACCCGUGUCACUCAAUCCGGCUAGGAUUCAUUCUAUGGGUGAGGAGGUAUGGUUUCAAUCCAGGCCAUCUAAUGUAGAAGGAUUCCAAUCCAGGCCGGUUUUCGUUCCAGGCCAGACUAAAACGAACAACACUUUCAAUGCAAGUCUGGUUUCAAACCGGGCCAUUUCAAACCACCCGGAAUGGACCUCGUUCCAGGCCAAUCCGGUGAAAACAAAUGAGGCCUUAAUGGAAUCCCAAAGCAAGAGUUCAGUGGCAUUCUAUAGUCCCAUGCUGCUAGUUUGAGUUGGUCGAAGCCAACUUAAAUAGGAGAGCUCUCUCACUUCUCUAAAUACGUAACUGAAGGAGAGAAGGGGGCUUGGGUUACACAACGCACGCACGCACGCAUAUUUGCGUUCUUUUCGCGUAACCAACCGCGUGACUUGAAACUUGCGACGUAGCGUGCUGCUAAGUCAAGUUGAUAUAACCUUUUUGCCGUUUGCAUGUAAUCUUUUGACAACGGUCAUUGGAGGUGAUAAGCACGCAGUCAAUACCUUAAUCUUGAGUUAAUAGGGUGGUUACUACUGCCAAUUAGUGGGGCAAUUUUGUAGGGGAAACGGUUAGCAGAGGGCUACCGUCUUCUCUAUAAGAAGUUCUGGAGACGUCCAGGAACACACAUGUACAUGUGAGAGACCCACAAAUUCCUUCCCUUCUCCCUUUUCCAUGUGGUGAAGUGUGCUGUGGUACUGAGCUGCUUGAUCUCGCCGCUCUUCUCCUUGGCAUGCACCGAGGAGGAGGGUGAGCGGUAUCUCCGAGCUAUUGCCGUCAGGAAGCCUGCACGAGGGACAACAAAAAGUUUUUGGGUAGCGCAACUGCCAGCACAACUCUCCCUCCGCCUCUUCUUCACGGUUGAUGGCCACCACAAGCAUAAACCUCGCCUUCGCAUCCACGCAAAAGGGUCGCUGGGGUGCCUUCUUGCAUCGCUUCUCAGCCUCCUUGACUUGCGGCCAGCCAAGAACUGCGCCACCACCUCGGGUGCACGCCACCACUCCAGGGCUGCUACCCCAUGCCUGCGGCCGCCGCCGGCCACCACGCGUGUGCAACCGCGUCGCACCGCUUCCUUGCUUUGUGCCACCACUGCUGCUGUACCACCAGCUCCACCACCUUGGGCUGGUCGCCAGAGUGACUGAUAACUUAUUAUCUGUAACUACUAUUAACUCAGGGAUACAUGCGUCUUUUGCUUCUCCUACUAAUAUGUCCUAAAAUAUCUAGGAUGCCUUAUAUUUCUGGACAGAGGAAGUAUUUGAAUAAAAUGAACCAAUUUAAAAAAAUGUGUUGUACACUACUACAGAAAGACCUAUCAGUGUCAAACCCAAAAAUGUUGUCACCGCCAGUUUUGGGCAUCAUUGGUGAAAGGUUGGCGGUGAUGGGCUUUCCCUUCAACAACGGCACUGGAGCCGACGGUGAUUGACAUUAGAAAACAAAAAAGGGGACCCUACCUAGCCACCCCUGCAACCCGGCCGGCCGUGCCUCCCCUCAUCCCCACCACCUCGCCUCCCCAUGACCCCCCGCCGGCGCCCUUGCGCCUAGCCCCCUCAACUGCCCAGCCGGCCACCCUCAUCACGAGAGAGAGGUGCAUGUUGUAUAAUUGCGUGAAUUUUUUAAUGUUUAAUUUCAUGUAAGUUCCGUGUAAUAAAUUGUACAAGUUUUAUUGUAUAUAUGAAUUCCAUAUAUAUAUAUAUAUAUUUAUAAUUUAAUGUAUGGUUUCAUGUGUAUAUUUCAAUCAUGUGUAUAUUUAGUAGAUUGCCGAUUUUCUUUUUCUACUAGACAAGGGUUGAUGUAUAAUUACGUGUAUAUGUUUAUUGUACGGGCAAUUAGGACAAGUUUUGUAUAAAUUUCUUUUAUUUGAUGGUUGUUGUAUGGUUUCAUGUAUAUACAUUUAUUGUACUACUUUAGACAAUUUUUAAUUUAAUGUUUCUAUGAUUAGAUGUGUGUAUAACUAAUUGUAUUAUUAGUUAAGAUGGGAGCUAAAGAGGAUGAAAGGUAUAUAAUGGAGCAGAUUAUUGCUAGCUCAAACGUUGCAAGAACCUACACCGAGGGUGAGGGUAGCUAGGUGGACAUGUACCUCAACAUGUCCAGUGAUGGCAAUGACGAUGAGGAGCACGAGCAUGACAUCUAUGAUAAUGCGGAACAAGACAUUGCAGAAUUGGAAGGUUCUAAUGAGGUGUGCUUCAUGUUGACAAUCUAGUUGGCUUUUUUUCGUUGGUCACACCUUAGUUACCAUAGAACUUCGUCUCGGGAGAAGAUUGGUGGUGGUAUGGUGAUUGGAAUUUUAUUUCCACGAAAUCUGAUUUCCAUCGAAUCAUAUCCCUUGUAUUUAUCUUCUUUUUAUUUGUGAGAGCAUCUUCUUUAUGCUUGCAAAACAAUUCAAGUGCACAUACUACCCCUAGGGUGACGAUUGGGAGUAGAAAUAAUUGCCAACAAAACAACACCACAUCCUAAGAUUCUUAACUUGUGGCAUAAUUAGUCUAGUAAAAAGAAAGAUAAAAACCUAAUGGGUGUAUGUGAGUGCAAUGUGUAUAUGCAUAUGAGUGGAAGGCAUAUAAGCAAAGACAAUAUUUACACAUAGUUCUAAACACCAUGUUUACAGCUAGGUUGCUGAAUUUCUCCAUAGCCAUAGAGAUUAAUUAACCAAGGUCAAAACACGAUGUCUAUCCCAAGAUCAGUAAUUAUUUAUAGCACAAGAAAAAGAAAGCGCAUUGCAAAGUUUAUAAACCAACCAAUACAGCAUGAAAACAAGAUGAAUAGCUAGCAAGGUUUAUUAAACUGAAUGAUGACGGUCUGUAAGCAAGUUUAAACACCAUCUUUACACAAGAUUGCAAAUGGAAAAUGCCCAUAUGAAGCACUAACAUGGAUAUGAAAUCAUUCAUCAUAAAGCGUAAAGAACAACCAAGCCAACCAUAUGCAAAGCAUGAAUGGAAUGCAAUGAAGGUGCAAGAGAACAUUUUUGGAUGAACACAUUAUGAUGAUGGCAAAAUGCAAUGCAUGCAGAAAAAAUAAAUAUGAACAUGAAUAUGAUGAUCAGGGGCGGACCCACUAUUGUGGCCUGGGUAUUCCUCGGCAUACCCAAUAUUUUUGGGAAAAUGUUUAGUAGUUUUUAAUGGCAUAUACAUGUAUAAUAUAGUUUAGGUGUUAAAAUUGAUAUUCACAGCUAUUUUGGGCUCCAAUUCGCGUCCAAACCAACCUGGCCCACAGACCGCACCCGGCCGCCCGGCCCAUCGGCCCAUCUUGUCACUGAUCCUCCCACCACCACACUCAGCCCGUCAGUUAGUCAGGUCCCGAGCUCCUGCCUGACCUAGUCCGCUACCACCGCCAGGCGCCAGGCACAGCUGUACACGCCGCCCCCGUCCACCCACGUCCGCCGCACGGCCGCGUCGCGCCCCCCCCCGGCGCCCGCUGCUGCCAGAACCCAUUAGGCCUCCACCGGCAAGUCCACCCACAGUCCCGCGCGACGCGGCAGCCUCUUGGCUCUCGGCGCUCGCGGCGCGCCAAUGCCUGCGCAGCCCCAGCAGGCGACUGCCCCCCCCCCCCCCGCAUCGGGCCUCGGCCCCUCCCCAGCUCCCCCUCCCCCCUCCACCAGGACUGCCUGCUGGCCCCCACCGCGAGGUAAUCGAAAUGGACUGCUCAAUCUCUCAAUCUGUUGACAUGAUGCACACGGUUGCAAAAAUAGAUGUGUCAAAAUAGAUGUAUUGCCAAUUGCUAUAGAUGCAUAUGGUUGACAUGAAGAAGUCAAAAAUGACAUUUGGUUCCUUGUAGGCAGUCAAAAAUGAAGAAGUCAAACAAUAUUGAUCUGAAAUCAAUGCGGGAAAGGGCUACGAAGACACACGGGUAGAUUCCCUUGUGAACUUUUUAUGUCGUUCGUCUAAAUAUAUUUUUGCAAUGGGCAUACCCUACUCUGAAAUCCUGGGUCCGCCACUGAUGAUGAUGGUCUAAACAUAAAACAAGCCUAGAUUAAUUAGCUACAACUGAAAUUAAGCAAAGGUUAAUGUCAUUGACCCUAGCUCUAUCCUAGCUUUUACUAAAGUCCCGGCACAUAUAGUGGUUGGGCCCACUCUCUCUACUUCCCUCUCUGCUGCAUGCACACACACGAGCAACUGGAGGCCCAACAAAGCCCAGAAGGGUUCGGCCGAACCCGUCCGAUCCAGUCUGAGCGCCGCUCCCUCCCAGCCUUCGCGCAGAUGCUCCUCCAACGUUCCUUGACCCCUCCCUCAGUGUCCCAUUGGGUUUAACAUUGUAGGAGAGGAGUCCCUUUUUUAAAAUCUCAACCACCUCCUCUCCUCAUUCACUCCACUCUCAUCUCCAUCAAACUCACCAAGAUCCACAUCGGAAAUACCUGCUUACCACCAUGGCUGGCAAAGCCCUCGUCCCUUUCACCAACUUGGGCUUGACCAUUGAUCUCGAUGGGAAAAUCACUCCAGCAAAUGUCAUUGUCCCUGUCGGCGAUCUGGCGAUGGAGGAGGUCCAGGCACUAGAGGUCGAGCCCCUAGCCAUCAUACCGCCCAAGGGGUAAAGCAGGAGCAUGACAGGCGCUGCUAGGGGUUCAGCCGAACUCCCAGUUCAGCCAAACGAGGACGGCGUCGCCUCGGCCUCCCGCUCGACUGCAUGCUUCCCCUUGCCAAGGAGGACUCCAGAACAGCGGGCGCGUGCGUCAAGUCCCUACAAAAGGCUGAAAUACAAUGAAUAUCCAGGGUCACCCUUGAAGAUGGGUGAACGCUACGCCGGGUCCUUGUUUGACUAGUACGGCGAUGCAUUCUGCCACCGCUAUGUCGUUGUCGAGAUUAGCGGAUCAAGACUUAGACUAGUAAAUUUCUUUUAUGCGCGUAAGGCUUCAGAUGGUGGCGUGGGAGACAUGGGUUUUAUACUAGUUCGGGCAAUGGAAUACCCUACGUCCAGUGUCUGGAGCUGCUUGUGUUGCCCACGCGGGGUUCUGUAGUAGGGGUUACAGGUGUGCGAGAGAGGGAGCUAAUCCCAGGUCUCUUAGGCGUGUUCCGGUCCUCUAGAUGGGAGAAGUGUGUUCUGUUUGCUUGGGAGUAUCGGUUGUGUCUGAGUUGUCUCCGGAGCCUCCUCCCGUCUCAGGUCCCCGAUUCUCCUUUCAUAGCACAAGGAGACCAUCGGGGUUACAGACGAGACCGAGCGUGGGGAGGAGUAAAGAGAUAAACAUAGCUAGGUAAAAAUACAACAAGAAAGGGGGGAACCAAGUUUCUAGGUCACCGGCGUCCUCGCCGGCCUUCGACUUCCGCCGGCGCAUUUGUCGGAGGAGGGUGGCCGCCAUCGCGUUCUGUCGAUGGCUUCCUCGGUGACUGUAGCCACCGGGCGUGAUGAUGGCAUUUCGUCGUGACCCUUUGUCUGUUGGGGGAGGCGGCGGAUCCUGCCAUUCUGCUGACGGCUCGCGGAGUGCGAACGUCGCAUCCCUGCCGCUGGGCACGCGGGGCGCGAGAACGUGCGAGGCUUCCCCCUACCCCAGGCGGCGCAGGCCAUGAGUGCCCUGUGGCAAAUCGGAGGAGGCCGCAGCUACUGUAGCUUGUACUGUGCAGCCACGUAUGGGUACUUGUGGCAGGUUGCGUGGUGGAUGCGGAUAUCCUUCUCCCUGACAGAUCUGCGGCGCAUUUAUGGCGAGAUCGACAUGGGGACCCACAAGACCCGCGCCCAAGGCGGAUACUUGUCUGGAGGGCCCGGGUUAGCCUGACCCCCUACGCUUGGGGUCGGGCGAGGCGGAGACUUGCGGCGGGGCGUCGGACGCUCCCGACACUAGACCUGCGGUCGCGCAAGGCGGAGCUUGGUCUUCCGGGGGUCGGGGGUGCCGGACCCCAGGAUGCGGGGUCGGGCGAGGUGGAGCGUAAUUCUUGCCUCCCAUGUUGGGCCGAUGGCAGUCUUUGUUACCUCUAGUGGGCUUGGGCCUUUAUGUUUUGUUGUUUCCAUGGGCUUCGAGAGGUCGUUAAUAUUUCCCCCCAACAGUAGCCCCCGAGCCUGUGGUGGAGUGGGGGCGCUCCUCCGGAGGCUACUAUCAUCGCCCCUAGGGAAUCCUCGCAGUUGAUCCGGGAUAGGAGGUGUUGUUUGCACGGCUUGACCGAGGGGGUCGAUUAGGCGACGCAUCCUGUGAGCGACUCGGUGCGGGAGGGUUUCUUGUUGUUCCCUUCUGUCUGAGAGCCUUAAGUCGAGACCACCUGCGUGGCCUUUGGUUGCAAGGCCAGCCCCCGAGCCCCCGCACGUUGCAGGGGACCGGUCGGAGGCUAGGUCGACUUUUGUUCAUUACCCUCAAGCGUCUGUUCGCUAGGACGGAGGGGGCGAGCCGUGCCAUGCUAUCCUCAUCGGACGAACCAUGGUGCUCAUUGAGUUACUAACGGGUUGAUUCGAGUGGGAUCCCGGUCCCCGUUCGGGGGGGGUCCGGCUUGGGCCAAGCUGGUGGCGUACCCCAGGCUCCGGUCGGCCAGUUCAUAUAGUUCCUGAGUCCGUUCGGUCGGACCGGGGGCUCAUUGCCUUUCUUCGGGGAAAAACCAUGAACUUUGAUGCCGGUCCAGACUCGAAUGUGAGAUUGAGACGCCCGGGGCUGUCGCGUGCCCGGGUGAUGGCCGCUAGCGGACCCGUCUCCUCUCACCCCUCACUCGGGGGUAUCCUGAGGCGGCUGUCGAACCCGUGGCGGGCCAGCCUUCGAACCUCUGGAUCGUAAUGGGCCGUAGGGGCGUUUUCAGCCCCGUAUCCCUUUUUACCUUUUGGUGGGCCUUGGGCCGAAUCAUGGAGGAGGUCGGGCCUUGGGCCGGAUGCGGAGGAUGUCGUGCCUUGGGCCGGAUGUGGGGGACGUCGUGCGUGUCUUCCGGGAGACGAAGUGGUGGAGGGUGCCAACCCGCGAAUCGAGGGAGGAGGGGAUGUUUCUACUGCAGGUCAUGCGCACGGUUUCCGAAAAGGCAGCGGGCGUGACGGGACGUACCUCGCGCCGCAUUUAUUGCGAUGGGGGCGUCUGUUCUGCUUCCCUCGUGCCUUCCCUAUAAAACGAGGACUUCGCCUCGCCGGUUCCGCCCGCCAUCUACCUUCAAGCCUUUUCGCCUCCUCGCGCGCCCUUAGCUUUCCUGUGCCCGCUUCGUCUUCCUCCGCCCAGUGCCGCGCCCUUUCUCCCCAUCCGCCGUCGAGUUCUUCUCCCUCCGGCGAUGGGAUCCUGGGCGCGUUCCCACUUCGGCCCCUCACGCGCCGAAGGCCUAGUGAGGAAAGGCCUCCUUUGCGAGAGGACGGAGACGGAUGAGUGGGGGUUCCCUGAGAUGGAAGAGGUGCCGACUCCGCCCACCGGCUACGUCGUUUCCUUUGCCCACUUCCACGAGAGGGGGUUUGCGACUCCGCCGAGCCUCUUCUUCCGCGGGCUUUUGUAUUACUACGGGCUUGAGCUGCAGCACCUCAACCCCAACGGGAUUCAGCACGUCGCGGCGUUCGUUGCGGUGUGCGAGGGGUUCCUGGGCAUUGAGCCCAACUUCUCGCUGUGGAAGUACUUCUUCACGGUCAGCCUAUACCAGAAGGCCGAGAAGAGGGGAAGCCAGCAGCGGUCGACCCCGGUGCCGAUAGGGUGCGUCGGAAUCCACCUCUGCCAUACUCGCGCCAAGGAGUAUAUCGCGAUGAAGACCGCGGCAUCCCACAAGGGGUGGCACCAGCAAUGGUUCUACGUGAAGAACUACUCCAACCCCCCCUGCCGGAGUUCACCGGCCGCAUUAUUGAAGCGGCGCCGGAGGUGUGGGUGUACGGCCCGGUGGAGAAGGAGAAGAAGCGGAUCACCGGCCUGCUGCAGGCCAUCGAGCACCUGAAGGAGAGGGGACUGACCGGAGCCGGAGUCAUCGGGGCGUACCACGCCCGGCGGGUGGCGCCGCUGAUGCUCCGGGUCCGCUCGCUCGCCGACAUGACCCCCGGUGCUCUCACCGAUGGCACUGUCCUCGCGACGGGUGCUCUCGCUGCCUCCGAGAUCCGGCAGCGGAUCCGGGAGGCGCUGGAGGACAAGGACGCCGAUUACCCGGUGCCCGGCCACCCUCCGAUGCGCCCGGACGAGAAUUUCAUUGAUCUGGUAAGGAUUUUGCGCGCCAGUUUCCCUCUCUUGCGUUUCUUGGUAUGCCGUUCUGACGCGAGGCCCUCUGUGUUUGCAGGGUAGCAUGACCCGGGUCGUCGACUUGCGUCCGCCAGUGUCGGAGGACGCCGAGUGGCGGUAGCAGAACCGUCUCCUUGCCGAGAAGCAAAAGUGACGCAAGGACAAGAGACAGCGAAGAAGAAGAAGAGGGCCGCCAAGGAGUUCCAGCGGCGGCGGUGGGGAUAGGUCGUGUCGGAUGACGAUGACGAUGAGAAGGAGGAGGAGGAUGACGAGGAGGAGGAGGAGUUUAUCCUGUCCCCCCGGUCAGGGGCGCUUGUUAUCCGGGAGCCGCGCUCCCAAGCGGCCAUGGGGGACAAGGCGGGCGAGCUGCCUGCCCGGACCCGAUCCUGCGAAGCUUUGGGGGCGCGCCCCAGGGGUCGGCGCAGAGCGCCCCCCGGGGGUCGACGGAGCCGACCCCCAUCCCUACACCUGCAGCCCAGGAGCAGAGGAGCAGCGACAAGCGGCCGUUGCCAGAUGCCCCGGGGUCGGCGUCCAGCUCAGAGGCGAAGCGCGCGCGCCGCCCUUGCGCUGGGGGAACGUGAGUUGAAUUUCCUUGCGAAUCUCGUUCCUUUCCAUGCAUUGUGUUUGUUUCCGCUGAUGCUGUUUGUUGUCUCACAGCACCGCCCCUCAAGGCCUUGUCCCGCCGUUGGCGCCAAAGAAGGCGUUGCGGUGUUGUCGCCUCUGCGGGGCGGACCGCGGCUCCGCCGGCGGCGAGUGGCGGGGUCACUGGUGAGACCGCGGGUCCUACCGCGGAGGUGGCCCCUGCGGCGGCAACCGGUGGAGUGGUGCCACCGCCGGGCAUGGGACAGGGUCUGGACCCCGCUCCGUCCUCCGCCUCUUCGGCCGACCCCGCGGUGCAGAGUAUCGCUCCUGGGGGCCCUCAGGCCGGGGAGGUGAUUGACCUCGACGCCGACGAGGUGGAGGAGACGGCGGCGGUGGAGACGGGGGCGGUUGCCCCAGCGGCCAUGACGGGGACGACGACGGCGACGGGGGAAGGAGAGUCUACCCCCGCGGCCACGGCGGGGACAGUGGCGACAGAGGAGGCGGGGACGCCCGCCCCGGCGGCUGCGACGGAGGAGGCGGCGGUGACGGAGACGGGGGCUUCCGCCCGGGAAGCCACAGCCGAGGUGGCAGCGGCGACGGAGGUGAAAGUGCCUGUUCUGGAGGCCACGGUGGGGGUGGGGACGCCUGCCUCGUGGCCACGACGGAGGGCGAGGCGGCCCCAGGGACACUUGCUCCGGCACCCGCGUUGGAGGCGGUGGCGCCGACGGGUUGGCCCGUGGCGGCCUCGACGGGGGCGGGGGUGCGUGCGCCGGGACCGUCGGUGAGGCCGGCGACUUCCGGGAUGGUGGUGCCCGUCUUGACGGCGGCGGCGGCGCGGUCGGCCCCCGCCCUUGCCUCUACCACUCCCAUUCCCAAGGCGUGGAGCGGAUCCGUCCUGCGUUGGUCGUCUCGUGACGACCCGCAGAGGCCCCUCUUCACGUUGGAUGAUGCCACAGAAUGGGGCAAGUGGCAGGCGCUGCAGGGCGGACUCGCUAACGUCCGCGCCGCUCUAUCUUCGGCGUUGGGGGAGCUGGACGGCGUCAUCUUCCCCGGUGGCCGGGUAUGGUGCUUUCUCCGUUGGUUAUUUUCUUCCCGUUACUUCGUCCCUGAUGGCACAUUGUUCUGCAGGCCCUCCAAGAAUGUAGCCGGGGAAAAUCUGAUUUCCUUUGGCUCGAGCAGGGGCUCUGGGAGCGCUUCAACUUGGAGUUGCAGCGGACCGGGGAGCUGACCAUGCAAGUCGCCACCGUCUAGCAUGUCAUCGACGAUCUGCGAAGGCACGAGCAGGCGGCACAGGAGGACGCGCGGCGGGCGGAGGCCAAGUUCCAGGUCGUUGCCGAAAGGGCUCGCUGCGACCGCGAGGAGUUCCAGGCCGUUGCCGAAAAGGCCCGCCACGACGCUGAGGAGCUCGCACGGCUGAAGGUGCAGCAUGAAGCUCUUCAGAAGAGCGGCAGAGGGCCUGGCAGGACCGGGACGCCGAGAAGGUCCGGAAGGAGGAGGCUGAGAAGGUGGCGGCCAACCUUGGGGCUGAGGUCAGCCAGCUCCAAGUGCAAGCGCGAGAGCUUCAGGCCUCCGUGGCCCAGGGGCUCGACCAGGAGCGCCAGCUGAAGGCCUAAUCCGAGGGUAUGACUCUGUUUAUUUCUUUGUCUUUGUGAUGUUGCGGUGAUAUUUUAUUUGGCGGGUUCUUCUGGAUGAUCCUUGCAGAUGAGCUCAACUGGCUGAGGGAGGUGCUUGACGCGGAGCGCGCUGAGCACGGCGACCUGCGGGACGCGGUCCGCGUCAUCUGUGACUUCCUUAGUGUGGUCCAGGGGGAGGGGACGAGCUCGCUGGCGGCUCGUGUCCUCGGGACGUACCGCCGGACCAGCGAGAUCGCCCUGGAAGCGCUUCGCACCGGCUUGAGGCAAGCCUUUGGGGUCUUCGGCUCCCACUAUUCCGGCAUCAACUUCGCCGGGAUGAGCGGGGGAUACGCCACCGGCUACUACGAGGCCGAGCUGGAUGAGAUCGACGUGUCGGUGCUCAGCCCGGCGGAGGCCUUGGUGAAGCUCCUCGAGGAUGAGGCCGUCCCGCCCGAAGAUCCCCGGACGAGUUAACUAUAUCGGGCUGGCGCCCCAGAUGUAAAUACGUUAGGGAAAGACUUGUUUUUUGUGAGGGCCGUAGAGGCCUUUUCUAUGAAUUGUCGUAAAAAAGUUUUUGAUUCCCUUUCUUGCUUUUUGGACUUGGAAAGUUUAGAGCACGUUGUCGGGCGUGUCAGUAAGCUUUGAUGAGCGAAGGCACCGUAGCCGCUGGGGCGUCGUUUUUUUUGCAGUCCGAUCAAUCUUGCCUGAACACCGUUCGUGCACUUUCUCCUUUUUAUGCCCAAAAGUUCAGAAAGAGGGUCGGCUCGGAAAGAGAAAGCGUUUUGAGAGGGUGUCAAGUGGCUUAGGUACUUGCGGCAGGUUGCGUGGUGGACGCGGAUAUCCUUCUCCCUGACAGAUCUGCGGCGCAUUUAUGGUGAGAUCAACAUGGGGACCCACAAGACCCGCGCCCAAGGCGGAUACUUGUCUGGAGGGCCCGGGUUAGCCCGACCCCCUACGCUUGGGGUCAGGCGAGGCGGAGACUUGCGGCGGGGGGUUGGACGCUCCUGACCCUAGACCUGCGGUCGGGCGAGGCGGAGCUUGGUCUUCCAGGGGUCGGGGGCGCCUUACCCCGGGAUGCGGGGUCGGGCGAGGCGGAGCGUAAUUCUUGCCUCCCAUGUUGGGCCGACGGCAAUCUUUGUUACCUUGGGUGGGCCUGGGCCUUUAUGUUUUGUUGUUUCCAUGGGCUUCGAGAGGUCGUUAAUAUUUCCCCCCAACACUAUGAGGAGGACUUGUGGGCAGAAAGUCAGCUACCACAAACUUGCCUCUGAAUAUUUGGAGUGCAAACAUUGGAUGGUGGUUGUGGAGAGCCCCAGCCAUACCUCGCACCCGUGGAGAGGUAAUUGUCGGAUUGCUUGGUUCGUCUCUAGAAUGCGACAAGGUCAGGCGCCACCUCUCACUGCUGCCAGUCAGAAGGCCGAGGGGCCAGUUUCAACAUAGUAAUGAGAAUCUCCGAAGGCCAAUAUGGUUAAGCAGCUAACCUCCAUGAUCAUAGACUUACGUUUAGAAAAUAGGAGGCUUAGCGAUGCGUUAACAGAGCAGAAGUUAGAAACAGAAGAACUUAAGGACGACUUCCGUGUCCUCCGCCUUGGUCUUUGUGCUAAGAUAAAGCGCUUGUACAAUGCCACGGGGAAUGACGGUCUCUACGAUGCAGCUCAAUAGACGUGCCCCUUGUAUCCUUUCCUUUAGGCACUUUAGAAUAUGUUUAUUUGUUUUCCUUCAUUUUAAUUUCCAAUAGAUUGUUAGCGCCUCCAAUUUAAUUUCAAUAAAGUGUAGACUCACCGGUCAUCCAACUUGAUGGAGUCCUUUUGUCACCUAGUUGUCUUUGGAAGAAGUAGCUGGGUACAAAAUAAGUGUGGGGGAGAGCCACAGACUCUCUAGAGCUGAAACAAUGCACAACACCCACAAAUAGAGAAAACCACGCUGCACCAGCACGUACGUGAAAGUGGAGCCAGAGCUGGACCCAUAGGGGUUUGGCCAACCCAAGGGGUGGCCCACUCGGGCCAUCUUCAUCCACCGCGUCGGUUUGUGUCUCUUUACCCCUGAUCUCCCUGAUUCAUGAGUUUGAAUGAAUUUUAAAUCUGAUCAACUAAUUCAAACUCAACUAAAAUGAAUCAACUGCUCCACCUGCUCUACAUGUUUUCUAUGGUUGGCUUGCAUAUGUUUUAUUUCAUGCUUAUCAUCUUGAUGCUUGUGAACAAAUAUCUUUAGGACAGCAUGCUCAUCUAAGUAGUUGAUGUGUAUGAUAUGGUUCGAUGAUAUGAUCUUCACUCUUAAUGCUUAAGUGCUUGGGAAAAUCUAUUUGAAAAUUUAAAAGCCUUUUUGAAAUCUCCUCUUUGAUGUGCCAAAGUCCUACCAAAGCCAUAUGAUAAGUUAUCUUGAAAAACCAUUUGCAUAUGUUGCUUGUCUUUGCAUUGAGCUUUGUCAAAUUGGUGUGACCCUUGUCACAAUUCUUUUCAUACUUUCAUGAUCAAGACUCAUGUGCACGCCAUAUACCCCUUGCUAUGCUUCUAUGAGAUGUUAGCAUUGUACCAUCCAUUCAUUCCACAAAAUAAAUGCUCCACCAUAUGUGUUGGUCUCCUUCUAAGAUUAUUGUUACAAAAGAGAUAUGGGCUAUCAAAAAAAAAUAUGAAUGUCCAAGAAAGUUGGACACAUGAAUGUCCAAUAAAAAGAAAAAGAAAGAUAGCCAUGUCCUCAGAAAUAUUUACAAAGGGAGAGAGAUCAUACAAAAAGGAGUUUCCAUUCCAUCCACCACAUCCAUACAUGUGCACAUCUUGAUCUGAUUGUAUGACUUAUUUUUCUCUUUGGAUCUGGUCUUUGACUUUGCAAUAUAUGUGAUGCAAGCAUGCCUUAUCCUUCAUAGCCUACCUUGAGCUCCACAUAUAGCCAUCAUUAGAAGUAGGAUGAAGAAAGGCAAGUCUAAUGCCUUGGUGAGGACAUAUACACAUUGAGUGAUCUGAGAGAAUCAAAUGAGGAGCUAAGCAAGGUUUUGUUUUGAAAACUAAUUGAAAAAUCCCAAGCUACUUGGCAUAAGGAGUUGAGGUGACUUGAUUCAAGACCAUUACAUUCCUCAACUACCCAAGAUGGCAUGAUAGACACUCCAAAGUUCACAAGUGCAGGUAUGGUUUGGAAUAUCUUUUAGGCUCGCUUCAUACCUUUGAAAGUUAUGUUUCACCUUAGUCCUUUCUCGUUCACUCAAGGAUAAGCAAAGGCUAAGUGUGGGGGUGUUGUUGAUGGCUCUUAAGUACAAAAUCUGCGCCAUCAACUCUUGCAUAAACACAUAAAAUAUGAGCAUCAACAAUAGUGGUAGGAGUUAUUACAAACGAAUUCCACAAGUCUUGGUGAAUAUUUGUAUGCAAGCCCAAUAGGAGAGAAAAGACACCUCAAAAGCAAGGAAACACACUCUCAACCAAUCAAGAGCAAGCACAUGGAACCAUGGGCCCACAACCAAAAGGAAAUCGACUACAUUCCAAACACCCUAUACCCACAUGAGAACCCAUAGGGCAGUGACCCAGAGCAAAGGUGAUGCCAGAGUGUAGAUGGUAGUUAGCAUGCCAAAUUUUGAACCGCAAGCGCUCGGAUUAGUUGUUUCUUUUCCCUUAGAGAUUCCCCCAAGGUUUAUCAAUCCAUGGAACAAGGGAUUUGCACGUUUCACUAAGCACUAAUCAAUGUAAUUGAAAGCUUUUCGAAUAAGAUAUGAUUAUGCUAACAAAGGAACUAAGCAAUCUAGAUUAAGAUGGAUAGAGAGUACAGGUUGUGAACAAGAUAGAUUAAACGCUUGUAGAUGCAAUCACCAUGCAUGAAUGAAUUAGAUCUAGGUGUUAUUGUGAGUGGUUGUGAACCAUGCCCAACACUUUCCCACCCGCAACAUUGUCACUACAUGUGGGUACUCAACUAUCGGAACAUAAGAACACAUCAAGAUGAUCAUUCUAGGUAAGCAAAUAAGCAACCCAAAGUAGCGCUGGCCAGCCUUUUCAUGAAAGAGCAUCAUCAAGAUAAGAUUGAUAACAAAAUAGAUCUCAACCAAAGGUUCAGCGAUUACAAAUCAAGAUCUUCGUAUAACCCCGAUGACAAAUAGAGGUAUUACCCCCAUGAUCUUACACAUGUUGAUGAAUUUUAGGGUAAAGGACACCCUGUAGAUCAACUGGACCAAAGAUGAUGAUGAACGGGGGCAGGGAAGGCCCAGGUUGAUCAGCCUGCGCACUUUUGAGCCGAUCAGCUCAGGGGGUUUCCUCCUCCCCUGGUGCUCCUCUUCGCGUGGCCUCCUCUGGAUCCAAUCUUCUCUUCAUUUCUCCUACUUGUGGCGGCAAUGGAUGGUGUUUGCAUGGUGAUUUCCUCUUCUCCCCAACUCUCCCUCCUUGAAGUCCAUGAGGGGGUAUUAAUAGUCUCCAAUAGGCGGCAGCUCUGGGUCAAUGUCAGUGAAAAAAUCCUAGAGAUCAUCGUACACUUCAUGCUGAGGAAACAAGAGGUUGACCGAGCCCUGGGAUAGACCAAGAGGAUCAUCCUAGAGGGUCCCAGGCUAAUCGGUCUAGGCCCUUCCUAGCCCUUCUAGUCCUCUCCUUCCUCGUGCUGGCUUUUCUCGAUGACCCUUGUCCAAAUAUCCAUGAAGCUCUAUAUACAUACCCCCUUGAUUAUGUUGUAUUUCCUGUCAAAAUACAAUGCUCCAAAAUACAACACAUAUGCAAUAAUAGGGUUAUUUCAGGUGCCAAUUGGUGGGUUAGUAUACGAAUAAGCAUGAAAAUACUGUUUAAAUGACACUAAAAGUGUGUCAAUAACGAGCACCAACAAUCCCCCCACGCUUAGAUCUUGCUCGUCCUCGAGCAAGUCUAGCGACUAAAAGAUCUUGAAUUAAACCUGAGCAAGCGAGUCAAGUACCUAGCCUUGAAACAAAAGAUUAGAGGAGCAGCAAAGAUAAUCAAAGUCUGGGUGUUCAAAGAUUUAUCUAAGCAAAGAUUCCCCUACAACUAUUAUUCAGAACCAAGUAACUUCAAAAAUCAACUACACUUAUUUUCUGGCUUUUUUCAGAGGGUUUUUCUUUCAUCAUAAAACAAUCUCCCUGCAACAAAAUUGAAAAAAGAAUUAUUUUCAAGGUGCUUACAUGUCGCUUAAAUGAAUGUUGGCUAUCCUACUUAUUUGCAAGCUCUCAUCUCUCAAAAUUCAUUCAAUUAUAUGGUGGAGUUUGGGUAAGGUUAGCUAGAAUCAACACGUAUAUUAUUGAAUUAAGAAAACCCUCUAACGGUGGCCUACCUUCCGAGCCAUUGAUCAUAAGAAUAUCCACAUAAUGUGAAGUUUUCAAGGAUGAGAAGAUAUAGAAUGGUGGACAUGUGCAAAGGCAAAGAAAUAUAGUGACUCUGAGGCACAAGCAAUGUCCUCGUCGUUGGAUUGCAUAUGGUUGUAAUGAAAAUAUGUUCCUUAAACAAGUCUAUCUUUUCUUUGCACCACUCUUGAUCUUCAUGACAGUAAAAACUCCUCCUUUAUUUCUUUCUCUCUUUUCCUAUUAUUUCUUUUUAUUUGUCUCAAUACUUUUAUUUCUUUAUUUCUUUAUUUUAAUCUCUUCUCUGAACCUCUUCUGAACACCACAUAAUAAAAAUAAGUUUUAGAUCCUUCCAGAGACCUUCCAGGAAUUUGCUACAUGAAAACCGAGGCAAGGAGACCCCAGGCCGAUUGGCCUAGCCACUCCUUUGCUCUCCUCUAGCUCUUCUUUCUGGUGAAGCUUCCUUAUCUUGUAUCUUUCCAAAAAUUUCAUAAAGCUCGACUAGAAACGGAACAGAUCUUCAUAUAAUGAGUUGUGUUCAAGGAAUUGGUAAUAAAAUUGAGAAAUUUGUGGUUCGGGUUUACGAAUUCAGUACAAAAAUAUGAUUGUUCCAAUGAAGAACUCUCAUUACUGAAUAUUGACGAGGCAAGCAUUCAAAGAUGGUAAAAAGGAUAUGAUCAAUUCUCAAAAUUAAAGCAAACCAAGAGAGAGCGAUCCUAAUUCAAUUCAAAGUGUCAAAUGUUGCUUAUGGUGGUAUGAAUAAAUAUUUUUAGGCAUUGGGUAGGAUAAAUAAAAACUCUCAACCUGGUUAAAAGAUAUUGAUCAAUCUUGUUUUUGCAGAGGUUUUAAAUAAAAAAUAAAAUUUUAAAUCACCUCCAAUUCAAAGCCUUACUCAUAAAUCAUAAUCAAAACUGAAGCACUUGAUCAUCAUAAAGCAUGGGUAUUGCAUAAACAAAUCGAUUACUAAAACUCCACAACUACGAUUUAGAAUUCAAGACAAUGCUCAUAAUCUAAAGUUGCAAAGAUAAAAUAAAAGACAACCAAGCCAAGGUAGACACUAAAAACACUUGCACGAUCCUUGAAUUUUAUUCAUGCUUCUUCUCACAAAGACGCUAAAGUAGCCAUGUAGGCCUAAGUCUUCCCAAAAGCUUAAGAAAACUACUACUUUAUCUACUUUUGGUUGAAAUAAAAAGACUAAUCUAGACUCUCACAUGAUUCGACUCGACCAAAUUAGAUCCAAAAACUCAUACGAGCGACGAUCUCCCCCCCCUCACGCUUAAAAUCUACGACCUCCUCGUCGUAGCCAUAUGGAGUACAAGGAAAAGAAGCUUGUAAACGCUCUAAUGACGCUACCCGCACUACUUGCACACGGGAUGGUUGCUGCUUCCUUCGCUUUGUUCUUCCUCAUGUUGCUGCACAUCCCGAAGAGCUUCCUCACGUUCCUCUGCAAGAACUUGAACUCGUCCUCCUGACGGCGAUCAUUAUCUUCUGCCUUUUGAUCCAGAGCUUGUAAGGCUUGCAUGAUGUCAUCGAACGCAUCGAAGAGGUAGUGGAUGUUCUUCCUGCAAGCUGUGGAACAUGUACGAUCAUGCUCCUCCGAUUCUGGCCCGUCGUCUUCUAGAUCCUUCUCUUUGCCCUUGUCUUGACGGUGGCUAUCUUGCUCCUUGCUCGCCUUCUUGCCUUCAGCCCAAUCCCAGUACGUGUUGUCAUCUUCUUCAUCGUCACGGCCUGCAGCACCCUAUGAUCCAUUGUCUAUCUUGUAUGAAAGAAUCAGAAGCUUGUUCUCCUCAGGGUGUCUUGCGCGGUGCAGCGUUUGCAAGUGCAAGACUUGCUAGUUCCUUUUACACAUUGUAAUGUUCAUUGCAUGCUCUAAUUGUUCUACAUUUGUAAUUUCUUGGUGAAGUUUGGUUACUGAUCCACUGUUUGAUUAACUCUUGGGCCCAAACACUGUACUACUUCUGAUUAGAUAUCUGUAUCUUGACUUUGACCAAAAAAAAUAUCCGGCAGUUUUUGCCAUUAAAGUUUCAUAAAUCAUCUUGCAAAAAUCGUACUAUACAACAAGGGACGGUUUAUUAUAAAAUAUACGUUCCCCUUAUCACAUGCCACUUCCACUCAAAAGGCAACGAAUCAGUUUUCAAUCCUGAGUGAGCAAUUUGCUUUUAUUACCGAUGCCUCCUAUUCCCUUGUGCACCAAGUUUAUUUUGGAUAGGGCUGCAAAAAACGACUAACCAGCUCGGAUUCUCCACCUGCAAAACCGCAUCUGCAGCAACCAACCCCACGCGGUGGAAAAAAAAACAAAACCUAGAAACCGGACGGGGGUGGAUGUGGGGCUCGGAGCCCAAGCAAAAAACGGAUCGGGAGCGCCGGAGCAGGCCAUCACCGGAUGUUAGAGAUAGAAAAUGGUUGAAGUUUGGAGUGGAAAUCAAACAAGCCUUGGAGCAAAGGAAAAAAAAAGAUCAAACCACUCAAGCAUUCAUUUGAUUUAGAAAAGAGAACAUUUGUUAAGGUGGGGAGUUGAAAUCAUCUUUUAAUUAGUUCCACGUAUCUGGUAUCAUUACAGUUGGUUUACUUGUGUAAGUAUAAGUAGCUCUGCCGAAGCCUUUGCUCCUAUAAUUUAGUAACUAGUACAAAUGGAUCAAUAGGAAAAUCAAGUUGCAAUCAUUUCUCAGCCAACCAAACCUAUGUAAAUCAAAUUAUUGUCCAUGCCCGGCAUGCACAGGUGCCUGCCAUGCAUGCAUUGUUGCUCCAUUGUAAUAACCAUUAUUGUCCAUCGAUGUUGCAGCGCAUGUGUGCACUGUGCAGACACCAAGCAUCGAGAUUAUGUACUAGUAAGGUGUUGAAAUAAUGGGCCUAGCCCAUAAGUAAUUUCAGAAUUUCAAAUAAAUCUCAAAGGCCCAUGUGGGCAAGAGGUGGAGUGGUGCAAGUCUUUAGUCCCACAUUGCUAGUCGAGGGGAGGGAUGACCAACUUAAAUAUGGAAGUUGUCUCCACUCCUCCAAGCUAUGUGUGAAGGGCGCGGGCGCGAGGCACUUGCGUGAAUGGUCCGCCGAAAUCUGGCCCCCCUUGCGGGGGCGCGGCUUCCUUUUGCCGUUUUAUUUUUUGGUUACUUGGUCGUUAAGUCAUGGAAUCCUAACCGGUUUAGAUCACGAUCGUGAAGGUUUUUGGGAAGCGCUCUGCGCGACUGCUCGAUCGCUUCUUCCGCUUCGUCAAGUUCUUCGUCGACUCCUUCACCACGGCUCGUCUACCUCUUCGUCGCUCGGGCCUCACUCGUCGUCGCGAACAACGUCAGGCUGCUGAUCGUCGUCGCCUGCUGUAUCCGGUAGUCGUCCAGGAGCCGGUUUUCAUCAAGAAAGAAACGUACGGUCUCUUAACUCACAUUAUGUCUUCCAUACUAGCUAUUAUGAUUGUUGCAGUCUGAUAGCUCUGGAUAGUAUGGUAGAAUGUCUGAUUCUAUUUGCAAUGAUAGACUUGUCUAGAUCUUGCGUAGACAUGUCUAGUUUAAUCUGCUGCUUGUUCAUCAUAUUCAUGAUUUAUUUCUGGAUUAAGUUAAAACUAAAAGUGCUUAUAUAUCCAACAUAAGGUACCAAGAACACGUGAAGCACCCGGGGGAGGCUGCUCCACUCCGCAUGCACAGGUGGGCACGGCACCACUACUCGUCUCCUUCAGGCUGAGGAUAAGUGAUGUACGCUGAUCAACAGACCACGACGGAACCAGCAAUAAUAGUUUCAGCCUGCCUCACAGUAAUUAAUAUAUCCUGUAUCCUCCGAGGACCCCUCCCCUUAAUCUUGGCCUAUUGCAUCCAAUAAUGAUAUGUGUGUUUAUCCAAAUUUACGGCACCUUUGGCGGGGGUUCCACCCAGCUCCGCCCUCUCCACCUUCGGUACUCCAUGGGAAACCAUUCCUUUGGAAUCAAGGAAGCUUGAACAGUAUAACGAAUAAAGUUUCAUAUAUCCAUUUGAUUUCACAUGAAAUAAAAUAUUCUGUCAGAACCAAUGGUUUCACUGAAGCUCCAGGCAGCGAGCGAAGGGGUGAGAGAGGAUAACGCUUACUGUGUGUUACCAUCGCGUGCACCAUGGAUGACCAACGCGCAGCCGAGAUGAAACGGCGGACCUAAACAGGUCCUCGCUAUUUUUGCAGGUUCUCGACCAGGCCAGUUCUUUAGGCCAACCUAUCAUUCACGAGUUAAACAUACGGUGGCUGGAGAAAUGUUCUAUUCUUUUAAACAAUACCAGCUGGUUCCUCCGUUUUUAUUCCACCAAUACAAGCACCACCUUGUAACAUUUCCUAUGUUUUUUUUCCUUUCGUCUGUUUUCUCACUACAUGCGUUGCUCUUUCAUGCAUUUUUUUCCAUUCCUGUAUUCCAAAUAGGUCUACAUGAACACAAAAUGAACUAGGGGACAGAAAAAGCCAGUGAAGUUAGUUUUGAGCUUCACCAGCUACUUGCUACAUAAAGUGUGCUAUAGUCGCAGAAAAGCUAAGCUGGAUCAGACGUGGCCGAAACAAUGCCAAAGAGCUAGGUCCCUAGCUGAUGGCAACACAUCAGAUGACUAGCCUGCUUUUCUGUAAUAAUGAUAUUGAGCAAUACACUGCAUGGCUAACCUGCUUUACAAUAAUUGUCAUUUUAUAAUAUUGGUCAUCACGAGAGAUGCACAUUGCAUACACCGGCCCAUCCCUAUAAAUAGCCAAGCCUUUCAGCCAUCUUGGGCACCUCCUCUCAGGGCCUCGUCUCACCAUCAGACAUCUCGUUCCCAGUUAUAAUUUGCGAGGUUAGAUCAGGCUGCGCCAUGGCGUCCGCAACUGCUGUCAAGAUCGUCGCCACCUUCAUGCUGGUGCUGACCAUGGGCCACCUGAUGGCCGAAGCAUCACCGCAGCCUCGGCGUGUGCUUGCAGAAACGGAGCAUGCUGCGGUGUCCGGGAAUCCUGGCCUCCCAGGUGAUGCUAGCGUCAUGCAGGUCCUCGAACCCGCCCUAGUUUCUCGGCUUGCCUGCAAACCAGAGUGCACAGUCCCUUGGCCUCCUUUUGUAUGUAUCUGCUAGAUCCUCUUCCUGGCUCAACGGAACUUCAGGGAAAUGGCUGUGACGUCGGCCAAAGAAUAAAUUGGAUGAACAUAAUAUACCCCGGGUAGUGUAGCUUGGGCUUUUGUUGAGCGUCUGGUGCUAGUUGUAUUUUGUUUGCUCAUGUGGCUUUGCUUCUGGUUGCAUAUUGGCUUUCCUAUCGCUCUCUGUUGCAGCUAUGGUUUCUGCCAGGUGUGUGUUAAUGCGGUUUGUAAGCGGUGCUUGUUCCUACCUUCUGUUUUCAAUAAAAGAAGUCGGAGUCUCCCUCCGACUCUUGUUAUCAGUCAACAAAAAUGAGUUGUAUCAUAUAUAUCUGCGUCUUUUUUCUACGUAUCUUUGGGCUGCUUCAGCUGGAAGUUUAUCGUAAGUACGUGUAUCAGGAUGAUCGUUUGAAUUAAAACGAAAUGAUAAUGUGUGGCUGCUAGAAAUGGAAUGAGCAUCUUACUAUAUUACUAAUUGGAAGCCUCCACGUGAAGCCACCUAGAAAUUCUAGGUGGACGUUUUAAAAAAAACAAAACUCAUAGAAGCCUCCACCACCUAGGAAUCCUAGGUGGACACUCUAAAAAGAGACAAAUCCUAGAAAUUCUAAAAAAAGAAAAAAAUAAUAACAAUAAGAUUUUUUUGCAGUCAAUUACAUAUAUUUUUUUGAGACACCGUGCUGCUAGCUCUUGCCAUUGCGACCAGUAAAGCAAGCAGAUAGUAAGAUGACAUGCGUGUGGAUUGAUUAAAACAAAUUCAGUUAGUUGAUUCUAAAUCGUAUGUAUCCUAAAAGGAAGAUAUGUGCGUGCAUGGUCCCUAGCGAUGACAUGUAGACAUGUAUUGCAAUUUCUUUUUUAAAAAACAUGUCUAUCUCUAAACCAACAAACAGAAAAAAUAUCAAUCUAAAUCUAAAUCUCUUCCGUUCUCACACGCCUAUUAAAGAGAAGACAACCAAUCCCAUCCAUGUUCCAUAGAAUCCAUCUAAAAGCUUGCUCACUGCGGACGGCAUUUGACGGCAAAUCAAUGAAAGAUCAUCCUCUCCAAAUAGCUGGACGGCAUCACCAUCUUUAUCUCACCAACCUACAGAGCUACAACGAUGUUGUAGAGAUCAACUAGGUAACCUACCAAUCACCCUCCCCUUUUCUAUAUGCUCUAAAGAACACGUGGAGUAAUUAUAGGCCUAUAGGAGCCGACUAACCUAGAUUAAUAUGAAAAAUAUUCCAAUAUUAAAAGCAAGCAGAUAGUAAUACUUGCCUUUGACCAUUUUUCUAGAACUGUUAUUCCUAUUGAAUGUUCAAGUGCUACGGCCAGGCAUCGAAUGCCUGCACGGAACCUUCCUAUUGAAUGGUUACUCUAGAGAUCAACGCACCGCGAGACAUUUUUAUGGAAUUUGUUUGAUUCCCCUUCUACAAUUAGAUUAAUUUUUCAUGGCAUAUAUUACUACUAUUAAAUUAUUUGUUUAUUGUCGGGCCUGCUGCAUGUGUGGUAUAUAUGACUUGCUUCUCACCAUUGUUCUCAAACUAUUAUUCCUAUCGAAUCUUUCUAUCGAAAUAUAUUUUAAUUACUUGAUUGUUGUUUGUGUACCAUAACUUCUGUAUAGAAAAAUUCCAUGUUUGUAGAUAAUGUCUUUUGUAUAGAAAAAUAGCCCAAUUAGAUCCAUCACCAUCUUUUGCUUAUGUAGUUGAACAAGUUGCAAUGUUGAACAAAACUUUAAGUGAAAUUAGACCAGGAAAAGGAAUUGUGGAACAUUAAGGCAAGGGUAACCAGAUUGUGGAAUGCAACCUUACUCAGUAGUGGCGAACAAUUAAGUCUUGACAUGAUCCUUAUUGAUCAAAAGGUAUGAUAGAUGUUCACUUUGAUUGCAUUAUUGGUAUAAUUUUUGGUUUACAAAUUAUUAAUGAUGAUGCAAAAUUAGGGAACCAUGAUCCACGGUGUUAUCAAUAAGCCCUAUAUGAAAAAGUUCAAACCAUUGAUUGAAGAAGGCAAUGUGUACAUAAUUGCAAAUGUCAGAAUCACACCAGAACCACAGAAGUAUCGGCCAGUGGAAAAUGACAGGAUAGUCAACUUCUUACCCACAACUGCACUAAAAACGAUCAAAGAUACUGAAGACAUUCCAAAGUAUAGUUUUAACUUCAUGAGCACGGAUAUGCUUUCAGCAAGAAUAAAUGUGGACAUGUACCUAUUAGGUAAAACAUUACUGGCUUUUCAAUUUUUACACUUCCACUCAUUAAAUGACCAUCUAAUAAUAAUACAUAUUUAUGUUUCAUAGAUGUUAUAGGUAUCUCAGCUCACAUUGGACCGAUAGAAGAAACAAGGACAAACUUCGGAUUUACUAAAAUCCGUGAUAUUGUGCUCCUGAUCGAGUAAUUCUCUUUUCUUUUGUAGAAAACAACUACAAAACUUUCAACAUUUACAUGUAUGUUAUAGAACUUCUGUUGAACUAAAAAAUAUCUUCUACAGUGCCCCUACAAAUAAUUAAUUUCGUAGUUGGAUAUUUAAAAUAUUUAUUAUUCACUUUUAAAUUUGUGGCCAUGAAGUUAAAGUUAGAUUUUGGGGAGACAAAGUUGAGGAAGUUGAUGAUAAGACAAAAUCCCAUGUCAUUGCAAUAACAUCUACAACUGUGAGUAAAUUUGGCAGUAAGUCUUCAUUCAAUAUGAGUUAUUCAAUAUUAGUCAUUCAACAAACUAACCUCGUAAGAAAAAUAAAUAAUUGAUGUUUUAUCAGGGUAUUCUCUAUCGUCAACCAAUGCAACAAAACUUUAUGUAGAUCUACCUAUUCCUGAAACUAAGGAUGCACAUGAUAGGUGAGAAAAAUUAGAUAUUGUUUUUCUAUUUUAAUCUAUGUAGCAUGCACUCUAACAUGAUACAUUCUUUCAUAUGAUAAAAAAAUGUUAGUUCAAUUGAAAAUAUUGUCAAAGAGAUUCAUAUUGAGGACCAUCUAAAAGGGACAUUGGAAGACCAAAUGCAGUACAAUAGAAGAACUUUAGAAGAAUUAAAUUUCAUAUUAUUUGAAACAUCAAAUCAGGUAUGGAUUAGUAUGUUCAUUGUACACUAUACUAUUUAAAGACUUACAUACAUAAUGAUGGUAUUGUUCCUACUUUCAGGAUGAGGUAUUUACUAUUGAAGCAACAAUAAAUGAAAUUAAUGCAACAUAUGGUUGGUUGUCACACCCGAUUUUAAGGACAAAAUUGAGUGCAUUAAAUACAUGUGCACCAGGAUCAAGUUACACACAUCCUAUGAGUACCGUCCUUCUUUGGCACAAAGAUAACCGGUGCUCCCCAUGGUGAUGAACUAGGCCGAAUAAACUAUUUUGCUGAUAAUUCCUCUAGUUGUUGUUUCAAUUCUUUUAAUUGUUCAACCAACAUUCUAUAAGGACGUUUGGAGAUAGGUGCAGUACCAGGUAAAAGAUCAAUAGCAAAUUCAAUGUCGCGGUCAGGUGGCAUACCUGGUAAAUCGUCGGGGAACACAUCCGGAUAGUCACACACCACUUUGAUAUCUUCCAAGGAUUUUCCAGCCAACUGAUUAACUGCACAAUCUGCUGCUGAGGGUAGAGUAGCUACAAACUCCACUUUCUCUCCAUCAGGACCUGUUAGCAGAACUGUCCUCUUGGCACACUGAAUCGUUGCAUCAAAAGCGGCUAACCACCUCAUCCCCAGAAUUACAUCGAUUCCACUGGACUCAAGGACGAUAAGAUCAGCCGGAAACUCUAUACCCAUUAUUCUCAGUUUAACUUGUGGACAGAUGUAUUGAGCCUUCAUUGACCCCCCAGGUGAACUCACUAGCAUAUGACGCCUCAUGGUAUGCAUGGGUAAAUUAUGCUUUGCUACAUAAUGACUAGUGACAAAAGAAUGCGAUGCUCCAGAGUCAAAUAAAACUGAUGCGGGGGCAGAGUUGACAAAGAACAUACCAAGCACUACAUCUGGAGCCUCCUUAGCAGUCUCGGCUUCCAUGUGGUUCACCUUGCCACAAACAAAGCUUUGCUGCCCCUGAUUGCCUUGUGGGGUCUGGUUCCCAUUCCUCGGUUGCUGCAUCUGAUUCUGCCGAGGAGCACUGCUGUUCUGCACGGGGGUAGCUGGCCCACCUCUCUUAGGACAAGAGCUGGCAUAGUGACCAACCUCGCCACACUUGAAGCAGGUAGGACCCACUGGAGCAUUGGGCCUUGUUGGAGUGCCAGUAGGGGUCAUCUGGCGGUUCUGCGUAAAGCUUGGGCGCGGAGUCUGCAUAGUCUGCAUCCCUGGAUGCUGGAACUGAGGGCUAGGGCGCUGGAAUGACUGCUGAGCAGGGCGCGGAAAUGAGUGCUGCCAAAAAUUCCCACUCGGGCCCCCUGCGCGGAACGGCGUCCCUUGCUGUGGAGCAAAGCGAGGGCGGGUGUUGCUUCCUGAAGACUACUGGGAAUUGAAUUUCCUCUUCAUCUCCCCGAGCUCGUUCCUCUUGUGUUCCAGGCCAAUUGCCUUGUCUAGCAUCUUCUGGAAACUGGGGAAGGUGUGCGACAUAAGCUGAUAUUGGAGUGGUCCAAUCAACCCAUCCAAGAAUAGCUCCUGCUUCUGCUCAUCAUCAGCAACAUCUUCGGGAGCAUAUCGGGACAACUGGACAAACUUGUCCCUGUACUCUGCCACUGUCAUGUUCCCCUGCUUGAGAGCAAGGAACUCCUUCUUCUUAAGCUUCAUCAAUCCGGAAGGAAUAUGAUGACUUCUGAAGCUAGUCCUGAAUUCAUCCCAGGUGAUGCCAUUAGCAUUGGCAUGGGUGGUGGUGUAAGCAUCCCACCAAUCAGCAGCUGGCCCUUCCAGGCGUCCUGAAGCAUACAGGACCUUCUCCCUGUCAGUACAUUGGGCGAUAUCCAGCAUCUUCUCCACUGUUUUCAGCCAAUCAUCAGCAUCUAAUGGAUCCGGAGAAUGUGAAAACGUCGGGGGCUUGUGGCUCAUGAACUCCCUAUGCCUGUCCCUUGGCGGCGGCUGCUGCUGGUUGUUGUUGUUGUUAUUGUUCAGCUGAGCUUGUAAAGCUGCCACGGUGUUGGUCAGUCCGGCGAGAAGCUGAGUCUGAGCUGCUAGAAACUGCUCCAUCCCUGCAGGUGCUUGUUGGUUCUGUUGCGGAGCGGUGUUGGGAUUGCUGCUGUUGUCCCUGUGGCGUGGCACUGUGGGACGGUCAACUCCUGAUCCGGACCUGGUGUUUACCAUCUGAGCGUUAGAGACAAUGGAUUUAGAUAGAUGUGUGAAAGAAUAACUGAGAAAGAUAAAGCGACCAGAUGUAAAAGUAACACAGAUUCUGUUAGCUCCAUUUAAUUAGGUGUGGUCGUCAGAAGAAGUGUCCAUAAAUUCUGAACAAUUACCAAGUCGUAACUUAUUAAAUUUGUAAACCAACCCAACUGGAAUCAUCUCAAUCGGACUUCUGGAUCUCGAGUUACAAAAUUAACAAGCUGACAGUGUCGGUCGAUAGGUUCAGAUUCUGAGUGCUUUACUAAUUCGCAUACACCUCCCAGACAGAUACACCAAAAAUUCUGAAAAAUUUACAGAUAGUACUCCACGAAAUUCUGAAACUAACCCCACUGGUUUCAUGUCAUUUGGACUUCUGUAGCUAGAGAUAUAAAUAAAAAAGUACUGGCGUGUCAGUUAAUGUCGAGAACAGAAUUGAAUGUCGCUUAGCUUGCGUGAUGGAUAGAUUUAGACAGAUGGUAGAUCAUGAUUAAGGAAGAUUAAAUACUGAUUUAGAACAGAAAUAAAACCCAACUAAGCACUUUAUUUAUUAAGACCAGUAUCGUGUGGCAAUUGCCCCACAUACCGCACUCAUUACAAAAUCCAACUCAAACAUGUAGCACAAAACCAAUCAUCUAAGCACACUUUAACUAACACACUCGAACGACGUCUAACGAUUACAAGAAUUUAAACUAAAACACUCCUAAUUUCCUAGAGGUCUUCUGCGGCGGUGCCGGGCGAGUCGUAGCGGGGACGCUUAGGCGACGGCGACGAAGCGGGAUGAACAGCAAACUCCUGCGGCGGCGGUGCUCCCGUCGCGGCAGCCAUAUUCGCAUCCCUCUCCCACCGGAGUUCCUGAACCUCCUGUUGAAGCUCCUGGAUGUGGUUGUUUGCUUCAUUCAAUGCGGUGAGAGCUGCCGACGUGUACUUGCGGAGGAAGUCUGUAGCCAUGUCAACCCCAUCGUUAGUAGCGAUGAAGGUUCUUGCUUCCCCACUAGCUCGGUAAGGAAGGAACCGAUGGUAAGUGUGCUGCAAUCGCGGCCGUUCCUUGUGGGAGACGACCUCAAGUGCCCUCCUGGCGGCCUCGGCAAUGCCGGAUUCCAUGGUCCUCCUUAUGGUCACAUCAUGGUGAAAAGCCUUCACCUCCCAUCCUCCCUCGUGCUCCUCACGAAGGACAACCUUCACCUCCCAAAAAGUGGGAUAGCGAGGGUGGGUGAACCGGGAGCACUUGUAGAGUGGCCUCAUGCCGUACCCCAAGCGGUGACAAGUCCACCUGAGUAUGUCGGCCAUGUGCACUCCUUGGCCAUAAUCUUCCUUCACCCAUUUGAUCCAUGUCUCGGGCUCGGGAUCUGCUUCGGGCUCAUCAUCCGUCAAGUCGACGACCGGUACGGGCGUCGGGGCUGGUGCAGGAGCGGGCGCCGGUGCUGGCGACGGUGCUGGUGACGGCGUGGUCUCCUGCUCCACGGUCACGGCGUCCCCGUCAGAGUCAUCCCCCGGAUGCUGGAAGAUCUCUUCCUCUUCUUCCUCGUCCCAAGGCUCCAUGGGGGCGUACGACGGCGCGAUGCCAUGACGCGGCGGACGGGUGCUCUUGCGUGCGGUCAACCGGGUGCGAGCCAUCUAACAGAAAGAAAGAAGAAAAUUUUAGAAUAAAAUUUUGAACAAAGCUAGAUAAUAAAAUAGCAAUAAGGAUGAGACAAAUCAAGUUUAAGAAUAAUUAAGUAGAUUUAAAUUAAGAAAGGUAGGAAUGGCUACUAGAUUAUUAUAAUCCUUAAAUACGACCAUUUUCUAACUAGGCUAACGUCCUACAGUCAACACGGCUCUGGUACCACUUUUGUCACACCCGAUUUUAAGGACAAAAUCGAGUGCAUUAAAUACAUGUGCGCCAGGAUCAAGUUACACACAUGUACGACAAUAGUGAAUAGUAAAGCCAGUGCUAAAUCGAAUAAAGAGAGUAUUAACCAUUAUUACAUGACCGAAUGUCUCAAAUAAACCACAAAGUCUAAUUAUUACGCAGCGGAACUCCAAAGAUGACGACGACUCCAUAGGCAGCUGACUGAAGAAACGUACGCCUAGAACUCCUCGAAGUCGUGGAAGUACUCCUCUUCCCAAUUAACUUGGUCUGAACAGCGGUUUUGCAAGGGUGAGUACACUUAUGGUUGGUACUCAACAAGUCGUGGGAAGUAGUGUAGUGUAAGGCUAAUUCAAGGUAUGGCUAAGGCGUAAAUAGCAUUCGCUUUUAAUUAAGUUGGUCAAAUUUUAUUAGCAUUUACUAAGUAUAAGUUCAUACCACCCGAAAUUAAACAUGAACAUAAAGUAAACCACAUGUGCAUGAAAUGAUAACAAAUUAAAUCCAUCUUCCGAUAAUAUUAUCAUGUGAGGGUCCAGGCCGCUCUUAACCGUGAGCACGGCUGAUUGAUCAGUUUAACACUCUGCAGAGGUGGCACAUCUUUACCCACAAGUCGCGUAAAAGUUCAAAAGAACUUUGGACCCAACCAUGCGGUGUUUGCAAGGCACCAUACCACACUUCCGAGGUGUGAUUGCAUAGGGACGCUACGAGGCCUUUACAAAGAUUCAUUAAUCAGUGGUAACCCGCUAAGGUUUCGGUGUCUGGCGUGCACCACCCAUCCCAGGUAAAAUGCAACGACUCAGUCCCCCCCCUUGAAUCAUCACGAGUAAGGUCACCCCAGACUAAGGUUUCUAAUUAAUCAGCCAAGACCAGAGCUAUUUAGUCUUGUGGUAGCACUGUUUUCCUGGGUGGUCGCUCCAUGUUCUGAUUAACAAAUAAUGAUCUUGUCUUAAUGAAAGGUAUAACAGAAAUAAGGCAAGAUUAAGCAUUGUUUUUAGUUAAACCACCAUGUACCAAGUAAGCACUAAGCAUGAGCUACCCAACAUAAAGUAAACCGGUUGGUCAAGGCAAAGGUAAAACAAUCUAGGCCAACCUUAAUUGGGACCCAUCAAUUUAAUCUUAAUAUGUGCACAGCAUAAAUGUUGAGUACGAGAAAGUAAAGGUGUAUAGGACAAAAAGGUAGUGAUCAAGGACACGACUUGCCUUCUUGGCCUUGCUCCUGCUGUUCGUACUCCUCGAAGGCUUGAUCGGCAACUCCCUCGAACUGCGGGGCGUCUACACGCAUCACACGAGCACAUACAAGCAAACAUGGGCAAAAGUAAGAAAACAGUAUACCAAACAUAGUCAAACAGAGAAAACAAGCUUGAAAAGAUGAUCUACGCUUUAAAACGAACACGCGGAUAUAAAGAACGCGAAAAACGGAGUUAAGAUGCAAAAGAUAUGAUUAAAACAAAAUCCAGGGACUUUUCUGUAAGAAAAACAAAACUUUUAGGGCCUAUCCGCGAAAACCGAGGGCUUAUACGUAAUUAUGCGUAUAAACCGAGGGUCUGAUGCGUAAAAACAUCAAACCCGGACGGCGGGUUGAUUUCUGGAAAGGUCAAGGGUUAAACCGAAAAAUGCGAGGGCAGAUCUGUAAAUACUUUCAACGCGAUCUGGACCGCGGGUUGAUUUGCGAAAAAGGCGGGGGCUAAAGUGCAAAAACUGCACGGCGCGGCUCGGUUGACCGGUACGCGAUCUUGAUUGACUCGCGUCCGGCCGUCGGAUUAAGAUCCGACGGUCGCGGUGAUCCGCGACAUCGCGGCGGCGGCGGCGAGCGGCGGCGAGCGGCGGCAAGCGGCGGCGGGUCGCCGGAGUUAGGCAAAAUAGCGCCACGAGGCACGGUUUAACGCGCGGGUUGCACCAAAAAAGAGAGGGGAACACGUCGAUCCCGUUUUGGGGGUUCUUGUCGACGGGGGCUCACCGGCGACGGCGAACGGCGGCGAGGAAGAGGCGGCGGCGCUAGGAGCUCGGGCGGCUAGGGUUUCGGGGAGCUGCGGCGCUGGUUUUGGGCGGAGGAGACUGGGAGGAGGCGGCGGCUUUUAUAGGGCUUGGAGAUAGAGCCGGCGCGGGUUCAAAUCCCCCGGAGGAGUCGGAGCGGAUGGAGUCCGGGGCGGAGACGGCGCGCGGCGGUUGCGGAGUUCUGACCGGAUUCGGCCGGAGGUGGGAGACGAUGGGUGGGGUCCACCCGUCAGUGGCGGAGGGGAGCGGUAGACGGGCCGGCGCGACCGUGGGCUGGCGCGCGCUCGUGGGCUGCGGGGAGCGGGAGAGAAGCGGCGAGCGGGCGCUGGCGGAGCAGGCCGAGCGGAGGUAGAGCUGGGCCGCGGAGAAAAAGGAGGAGGCCGGCGGGCUGCUUCGCAGGCCGGUAAGGAUGAGGCGGCCGGGCCGAAGAAGAAAAAGAAAAGGAGGGACAAGGAGCUUUCGGCCGAGGGAAAAGAAGAAGAAAAAGAAAAGGAAGAAGAAAAGGGAAAAGGUUUUGGAAUUUGAAUUUAAAUCUGAAAUUCAAAAUUUGAUUCAAACUCAAGCAACCAAAAAUUAUGCUCCAGCAUGAAUGCACAAAUAAUUCCUAUGAUGAAUUAAUUGAAUUAAAGAAAAUGAAUUUAAAUGCCUAGAAAUUAAAUAACACCCUAAUUUGAGCAAAUUUUAAUGAAUUUGAAUUAUUGAAAUUUUGGGUGUUACAUUGGUACUACAUCUCAUGUAGUAGAGGCGAUUGUAAGAAGCAACUUGAAAAGAAGUUUGAUCACUACUAUUGCAAUAAAUGUGACAAGAGAGCCGAACCUAAAGCCCAGUAAAUUAUUUAGUAGUUUACAAUCUUAUUAUAAUACUUCUAUUUCUAAUAGGAGAAUAAUAUUUUCAGAUUCAAAUUAAGCUUCAAAUAAGUGAUCCAACAACAAGUGCAACUUGUGUACUUUUGACAAGGAAGCAGAAAUGAUAAUUAAUGAAUGAGCAGAUUCGAUGAUCACCUCAGUUGAUCAUGAUAAUAAGUAGCUACCAAAAUCAAUUCAGGAAAUAUGUGAAGAAACAUUGAUUUCUCAAUUCAGAUUGACCGAGUACAACUUGACAAGUUUUAGACCUGAUUAUACUGUUUCAAAGAUAUUUUUUCCAAAAGAAAAGGGCAGUUCAAGAAUUGGUAUGGAAAGUGUAAAAAAGGUAACACUUUAUUAUUAAUUUUUUAUUGCACUUUUUUCUUUUGAAUCCGUAAUACUUAAUAAUUUUACUAUAUCAAUGAAACAAAUUCUAACCUAAAUUUAUUUUCUUUUUUAUUAUUUGUAGGAAGUAGAAGACAACUCAGACAAAUGCUACACGAUAACUACCGAGAAUGAAGAGGUAGACACUGAUGACUCUUUUACCGAGAAAGUAACAUUCGUAGAAGAAGCCAUAAGGACUGGGGAAAGAUUGGCUAGAAAAGUAUACUCACUUCCAUGUCAGUGUUCAUUCUAUUUACAAUACAUGCAAAAAAAAUAUUAUUCAUGCAAAAUUGCAGGUCUACUAAGCAUUAAAGGAAUAGCGGAUAGUGCAAUAUGUAAUCUGAGCAGCAUGCAUUACAAAGUGCUCUACUGCAAUUAAAUUAAAAAACAUGAUAUAUGUUGAAUUCUUAGACUUUAUUAUUAUACUUUUCUACGUGACAAUUCACAAUUUUUUAGAAAAAAGAAGAUCCCAGAAGAAGUGACCAUGAAAAAAGGUCUAUGACCAGCAAUAAGAAAAAAUGCAAGCAUAGAAACAAAUCCGUAGAAAACAUAGAAAAUAAGGUACUCCAUAAACAAAAGUAUUCUCUUAUAUUUUUAUUAAAUAUUUUUUUAACACUUGACAAGUUCUUUUUUAGGAUCAAUAUAUCAGCAAUUCAGAUGUCAUUGGAGAUGAAACCUUAGUUCAUCCAAAAGGUCAAAAAAAAACAUCUGAAGAAAGGUGUUUGGCUGAAAAGGAAAAGCAAAAAAGUGGUAAUGCAGACAAACACAUGCAGAAAAAUAUAAAAACAUGUCAUAGGGAGGCAGACCAAUCUUGCAAGGAGGUAUAGACGAAACGUGAUACACGACCUGCCUACCUUGUCGUGGAUACCCCAAGAAGAUGUCAUAGAGGUGCAGACCAAGCUAGCAAGGAGGUCGAAACGUGAUACACGGCCUGCCUACCUUGCCGUGGAUAUUAGCCCUGAGAUCAUUCUACUGUUCAAGGAAUAACACUCAAUGCUGCUGCUGCUGCUGACCUGGCUCCAUAAAGUUAUACUCCUCUAGGUGCUUGCACUAACUUUAUCUGAAGUAUUAUUCUCUCUGCACUGUAUAUAUGGUUAUGGAGUUUGCUGGAGUAUCCGGGGCGAAGAACCUACAUAAUACGUCUUGGAACUAAUUGACAUUGAUUCACAGACAAACUCUACAAGGUGCUGUUCUUGCCAUUUUAGAGCAUCCAAAGGACUAUAAAUAACAUAGUUUACCAUAUACCAUAUACCAUAUACCAUAAUAUGUUAGCUAAAAUAAGAGCAUACACAUGUUGCAGGAGUCCAAAAGCACCGGUUGAGGACCAGGUACAUUGAAUUACUAGAAAAAGACAGGGGACAAGGUUUAGGUAACCACAUGAAACAUUUGAAUUUAUUGUACUAUGAACACUUAGUUACCAUGCCAGGAGCACAUAGUUAACACUAACAUUUAGCCACUUUAGAUCAUCCCGAAUCACCAAUGACCCUCAAUAGUGACAAAUUUUGGUUUAAAUGCCAUCACCAAUGAUCCUCAAUAGUGACGUAUUUAGGUUUAAAUCCCGUCACUAAUAACCCUCAAUAGUGACCUGUUUUGGUUUAAAUCUCAUUACCACUGAUCCUCAAUAGUGAUGUGUUUUAGCAAAACAUGUUAUCAAUGACUUGUCAUUGGUGACGUGUUAAAACGCGUUAUCUCAAUGGCAAAUCAUUGGUGACGUGUUAUCUCAAUGUUAUCAAUGUUCUAUUCUUUUCAACAAUACCAGCUCGUUCCUCCGUUUUUAUUCCACCAAUACAAGCACCACCUUGUAACAUUUCCUAUGUUUUUUUUCCUUUUGUCUGUUUUCUCACUACAUGCGUUGCUCUUUCAUGCAUUUUUUUCCAUUCCUGUAUUCCAAAUAGGUCUACAUGAACACAAAAUGAACUAGGGGACAGAAAAAGCCAGUGAAGCCAAUUUUGAGCUUCACCAGCUACUUGCUACAUAAAGUGUGCUAUAGUGACGUGUUUUAGCAAAACAUGUUAUCAAUGACUUGUCAUUGGUGACGUGUUAAAACGCGUUAUCUCACUGGCAAAUCAUUGGUGACGUGUUUUAAAAAAACAUGUCACCGUGAGAGUCAUUGGUGAAGGGUAAUUAAAAUGCGUCACUAAUGUUGUAGCAUUAGUUAUGAUAAUUUAGUAACGCAAAAAUCUACCAUCAGUAUUGAGCUUUAGAGCCAUCGCUAAUGUGGGUUUCUUACAUAGUGAUGCAAGCUCUACAAGGUGCUGUUGCUGCCAUUUUAAAGCAUCCCAUGACUACAUGUUAAUAACAUAGUUUACCAUAUAUCAUAAAAAUAUUAGUUACAAUAAGCACAUACGCAUGUGGAAGAGUCCGAAUGCACCGGUUGAGGACUAAACACAUUGAAUUACUAGAACCAAAUGUAUGUUUAGAACAAAGACAGGGGUCAAGGUUUGGGUAACCGCAUUAAAAACAUUGGAUUUUACUGUACAUGAACACUUAGUUACCAUUACCAUGCCUUGAGCACCUAGUUACAACAAACAUUAAUUUAGCCACUUUAGAGCUUCCAGAAUCGCUAUAAAUAAUAUACCUACGCCGUACCAUGAAAACAUCAAGAAGAGAGACGGAUACAUGGACCACCAUCAAGCGAGUAGUGACAGCACGCACAAGAAUACCCGGAACCUGUUAGCUUGUCUGUAGUGAUCUGUUUUCUUCCCCAUAAAAUCCAUGAGUAUUGCCACAAAUAAUGAAAGAGGCUGACCAAGCUAGCAAGGAGGUAGAGCAAACGUGAUACACGGCCUGCCAAGAUUGCCCUGGAUACGCCAAUAAGAGCGACAGAUACAUGGAUCACACCAAUAUGGUGAAACGUAUAUUCAUCACACAAGCAAAGCUGGUCAGUUUAUCCAUGGUCAAAUUGUGGUCUUUGUUUUCACUUGAGAGCUAAUUGAGGCACUAUAAUAUGGGCAGGCCUAUCUUCAACAGACAUGACAGCUACAGGGAACUUGACAUAAUUUGCUGGGCCGCCUGUGCACAAUUAUUUGUUUUAUUGUCCUUGCAUAGAAUGCUAAAAUACUCUUUACAAAAUGUUGGAUCUAAUAUUUGAAAUAUAGAGUAGUAAUCAUAUAUUGAUCAACAACUUGAAAUUAUCUGUACAUUCUCGGUGAAGCUGUUGAACUAAUUUUUGCAAAUUAUUAAUUCAUCUCAUUACGUAAAGAAAAAAGUAAGUGGAUAAGAUAUUUCGUGGACCACAUCACUGCAAACAUGUCAUGGAGAGACAGACCAAGGAGGCAGGACGUGAUACACGACUUACCCUAGGUUGCCGUGGAACCGCCAAGAAGAGAUACAGAUACAUGGACCACACCAUCUUGGGAGUAGUGACAGCAUAUAUGCAGAAGAAUACCCCGUGCCUAUUUGCAUGCAUGUCUCAAGUGAUCUGUUUUCUUCAGAAAAUACAUGAGCAUUGCCAGAAAGAAUGGCAAGAGACAAACAUGUCAUAGAGACUUGCAUGUCUUGCCUUGGAUACGCCAAGAAGAGGGACACAUACAUGGAUAACACAAAUCUAGUGACACGUAUAUUCAUCACAAAGGCAAAUCUGAUAAUUUUAUCCAUGGAGCAGACCAAGGAGAAAUUGAUGACGGACAUGUGAUCUCUGUAUUCAGUUGAAAGCUAAUUGAGCUACACUAAUAUGAGCAGGACUAUAUUCAAGAGACUUGUUGAGAGCUACAGGGAACUUGUAAUAAUUUGCUGGGCGGCCUGCGCACAAUGAUUUGUUAUACAUAGUUGAAAUAUUUCAAGAAUUUAUCAACCUCAUACUCUGAAACCCUUGGUGCAAUGUACUCUGCUUUCCGAGGUAGACUGUUCACGUAAAAUGAGGUCAUGCGUAAGACGGAAUCGGAUUGGAUUCACAGGGAAUCAGAUUUGGAUAGCACCUUUUAGCAGGUUUUUAGUCAAAUGCAAAUUCGGAUCCACAUGUGGUUGAAUGCGAGUUCAAAAUUCUACUUGGAUAUCCAUUUAAUUUAGGUGAUAGCAAUUAGCACAAAAUGUUGGAUGAACAAAAUCAUAGUUAGACAUACAAUUACAUGUAUGGUUAAAGUAUAAUACAAUACACCAAGAUUAUUCCUUGAAAAUAUUUCUUAAAAAUAUUAUAAUAAAUGAAUAAAUAUAAUUGUGGCCACCAACAAAUAGUCGGUGGUCGCUAAGUUGGAGCCAUUUCUGGUUACUAAUGCGGCCUUCUCCUCGACCAGCGACGACAGCUGAGCUUGUUCCUUCUGACACUAAAUCAUCAGAGUCUUCCCUCCACUACUAUAGAAUGCACCUUUAGCACCAAUUGGGAAAUCCCCUUCAGUAUUGGAUGCUGCAACCAGUGCUAUAUAUCAAAAUGGAGACUAAAAGCCUCGGUCUUGGGUACCGGUUGCAUAACGCAUUACUAAAGGAGGCAAAAGAGAAAUGUAACAAAAAAAAUAUUUUGAAUUCCAAGAAUGUUUCACUAUUCAAGAUGACUAGCUGAGAGUCAACAGACAAGAUACUAGGAAUGUGGGUGCUUGAAUGCAUUUGUACAGAGGUCAUACUAUUUACAAACUCUUCUAUGUUUCCAUAUGACUACCUACUUCAAUGUCACGCGAGCCAUUCAGCUGGACACAUGGCACACUAGCUUGCAUGUCGAAUCCAUGAUUAAUUAUUUGCACUUGUGAUCUCUUACCAGUAUUUGUCCAGACUAGAAACGUGCAACACAUUUUUAGGAUAUGGACACGCAUAUAUUUGGACUAGUAUACAGGUCACCUUUGGAUGCGUACAAGGAUGACCGGGAGGGACUAAUGGAUACAAGGAAGGGACCAUCAGGAUUAAUAUUGACAUAUGCCACAUGACAAUCUUCAUUGUCAUGCAAUCCCUAUCAACAAUCAUGGAAUCCCUAGUGUACUAAUCCCUGGAGGGUUGUGUGGAAAUUUAUUUUACCUUGCGGUGAAAAUCUCAUGAGCAGUCAUUAGUUAAGCUGACUAGCUGAGAUAUAAUAGACAAGCUAGUAAGAUUGGGAGCAUCAAUGCAUCCAUACAGGGUCACAAUAUCCUUUCCAUUCACUUUUAUAUAUAACCCUACGAAUACAAGUCCAACGAAAUGCGGGCCUUUCGAUCAAGAUAAAUUAAAUGGCCCACUUGUAUUUCUAAUCCAGGAUUAACUAUGCCCUCUGUUCAUCUCUUGCAAGCACGUGCAACACAUUUUCACGAUAUGGACAUGCAUGGAGGUUAUUAUACUGUUUGGACAAACUCUGAUGUGCCAUGACCUAAAUGCUUAGGGCCUGUUUGGUUUGAGUUGCUUAUUAUAAGCAACUUAAAGUUGCUUAAAGUUGCUUAUUUGAAGUUGCUUAUUUUUAGUCUAAACUGUUUGGAUACCCUUGCUUAUGAGCAUUGAAUGAGUUGGACAUUGUCAAAUUUGCCCCAUGUGUUGCUACCCCUCCAAUUUGCCUCCCCACCCUUCUUCUUCCUGCACACGUCCGAUCCCGGGGGCCGACGGCGGGCAGGGAGCAGCAGCAGCUGGCCAGGGCGGCGGUGGGGCGGGAGCGGCGGCGCACACCAGCACGCGCUCGCACGCCAGGUGCUAGGGCGCGGCGAGGCAGUCGUCGUAGCCCACCGGGAGCGGGUGCUCGGGCGCGAGGCGGUACUCGACGGAGAUGCCGAGCGUCGGGCGCGCGGCGGCGAGCGCGUUGAGGAAGCGAUGGUAGUGCGGCGACGUCGCGGACUCCGCCACGAAGCCGCCGCCGUGGACGUACACCACCACGGGCAGCUUCGUCUUGCCGUCGGCGGCCGCGGCCGCGGCCUGGGGUGGCAGGUAGAGGCGGACGGAGCAGGAGCCGAGGUCGACGUCCCUGGAGUCGACGCCCGUGGCGGCGUCCAGGCUGGGCCCGACCGGCGGCGGCACGAGCGGGCGCUCGAUGCGGCCGCUCUUGUAAAUCCGACGGGUCUGUGCGGAGGCGGGCGGCGGGCGGGAGCGGCGGGUGGGAGCGGCGGCAGGUGGUGCGGAGGCCGGCGGCGGCGGGUGGCGCGGAGGAAGGGGAGCUGGUGAGUGGUGACAGGGGAGGGGGGGAGAGAGAGGGGGGGUAGGGUGCAUUGAAUGAGGGCAGGAGGUGUAAAGUGCACCUUUUAGUCCCCAUGAGCAACCAUAAGCAGCCCAAGAGUUGCUUAUUUGCUUAUAAUAAGCAACCUCAUAAGCAAGAGUGAUUGGUUUCAUAAGCAACUUAUUUGCUUAUUUUAAGUUGCUUAUGCAUAAGCAUGUGAAACCAAGCAGGUCCUUAACCUAUGGUUGUGGCACCACACAGUACAUAGUAUUUAAUAAUGCUAUUCGUUUGGUAUGUGCACAAGGGCACGCAUGAAAUGUCUGGCCCACGGUAAACAAGUACGGACGCUGCAAAUAAUCUACUCUGCUCGUCCAGUCCCUAGCCUAUAAAUAGAUGCCAUGCUAGCUCUUGUUGUGCUCACAAUUAAUCCUGACUACACACGAGCUUCUCUCCCUGGCCAAGACACAAUCAUAGUAUGAUGAAGAACAUGGCACUAGCCGGCAAUGGUAUGAAGAACUUAAUCCUCGCUGUUCUCUUACUGUGUCUAGUUAUAGGGCAGAUACAAGUGGAAGCUAAGAGCUGCUGCCCAUCCAUUACUGCAAGAAAUAUCUACAAUGCCUGCCGUAUCACGGGUACAUCCCGUCCAACGUGUGCAAAACUGUCAGGCUGCAAAAUUAUCAGCGGGGACAAAUGCAAGCCCCCUAACGACCACCUCACCCUUGACCCGGACACUGGUAAAUAAUAAAUUUAUCUCACUUGAUUUCUUCGUGUUUUGAGUCGUUAAUGUAUUUUCCAUCUGAUGAAACGUAUUGGUUUUGCAUUG